GUUAAUUCUUCUUCUUAUUUAUAAAAAAAAAAAAAAAAAAAAUUGGUUUUCAUUUAGCAUUGAUAUUAAAUAAUUAAUACUACCUAAUCUAAGCUGAUGUUUUAUAGGGACCCUAAUGCCCAUGGUGAAAGGUGACGUUUGCACAGAAGACGUAGGUACAUGUGGUGAUGACUGCAGUUCAAGGUGCGCAUCUGCACAUCCUGGGGCGAAGGCUGCCUGCGUUUUGAACAACAUCCCAGUUUGUAGAUGCUACUUCGACUGUGGACCUCCAGUCCCACCGCCAUACUCAAAAACUUGCAAAUUAAGCUUGGGAAUAUGGGGUGAGAGGUGCUCUGAGAAGGACUGCAACUCACAGUGUGCUGCCAAAUAUCCUGGACCCCAACAAGGAAUGGGAUACUGUUAUAGUGUUGGAGCUCCUGUUUAUACUUCUUGUUUUUGUCAAUACAAGUGUUAGCUUUCAGCACAAGGAUUAUGGACAUUCAAAUAAAGGGGCUAAUUAAUUUCAUUGUGGCCAACAAAAUAUACAUGAUUUAUUUUCUUUCUUUAUAUUUUUCUUUGAAUUUUUAUGAGUGUCGCUAUUAUCACCCACUAGGUCUAAUGUGGAGUCCCAAGUGCCUUAUUGAGCAAAUUUCCCAAGUGGUUCCCGAACUUUUGAAAAGUCCUCAUUUUAAUCCUCAAACUCUGAAAUCAAUCAAUGUGAUCCUUCAUCUUUUGGUCUACACAUCAAUUUGAUCCUUCAUGUCGCAGUACGACAAAAUUGUCAUUAGAUUUAAUCACAUGACCAACUUUAAAUAGGUACUUUCAUAAGAAUAUAGCUCAUUUUAGUUCUUAAACUCAUAGUUUUGCUCAAUAAGGCCAUAUUCUCUCUAUUUAAGGUUUUAUAUUUGGGUUCCAUUAAGGAGAACAGAUAGUCUUGUUGAAAAAAUACGUUGAAUUUAUUUUUGUCAUGAGGGGAUAAAUUGUAUUUCAAAGGAAAUACAGCUUUAAAGUUAGUCAACAAAUAUUUGAUGGAAUGCGACAAGAGGGACCAAACUAAUGCGUGGACCAAAUUAAGGACCACAUUGAUUAAUUUCAAAAUUUGAGGACUUCAAUGAUCCAAGCCACUUAUUUUUCAAGUCUUUAUUCAUAGAUCAUCAUAUGACGUCCGCAUCAUAAUAAUGUUCGGCCGUCCGCAUAGGAGAACUUCUAUAUAUACGCAUAAUAAUCCAAGCUGCCUAUUUCUGCCUUGUUCAAGACUAGGUUGCUUGCUGCUAUUGCAUCUAUUUAUAUACUUUUGCUCUUUUUUACCUAAUGAUUGUAUUCAUGCUGUGAAUCUUUUAACUGAGAGCUAGCUCCUCUAACUCUUCAUCUCUAUGGCACCCUUGUUAUCUGUACAACUCCUCAUUUGAGAGCGCAGCUAGUGAUGACGAUGAAGGGACUGAAGCGUUUGACUUGGGUUGAAUGAAGCGUUGGGUUUUGUUUUUUGGAUUUUUGGAAUUUUUUUUUCUUCUUUUAGGCCAUAAGUUACGCUGUCAAUCUUCCCCCAAUAAAAACUUCGGGUCUCACUUUCAUGCUCUGUGAUGAAUGUGCAUUAUUCGUCACAUUUAGUAAAAAAAUUGGGGGCCAAAUUUCCUGCUAUUUAAUAUGUGACGACACCGAAAUUAUAAUCUGACGAACAUGAAGUGAAAAUUUUGUUACGUCCCUUCAAGACGUUUUGGUGACGACUUGCAAAAUUCCUCACUUAUACAAGCCAAUUGUGACGGAAUUUUCAACACCACAUAAAAUUUGGUCACAGAAUGCCUAGUUUCUUGUAGUUUUUGUAACAGUGUACCUCCUUAUGGGUCAUCGAUAAAGUUGACGUCGUCGUAGUGCCUCAACCCUUUUCCGCUCCAAUUCAUCUUCGUUUCGUUUCUUAAUUAGCUCCUUUAUAUUCUUUACUAGAAUCUCAUUCGUGAUAAGUUGACACGAGUGACACCUAUUAAAUGCCAGAUACUUCUCAUUUUUCCUAAACUUUUGGCAUACUAUAUAAUACAUAAUCGAAACGGCUAGCUUGGAUAAAAUAUAAUCAUGAGUGAGAUCAUAAUCGAUCACAUUCAUUCGGAGAAUAUCCUUAAAAUUAAACUUUCAUAUUUUGAAGUUUGAUCUAGUGAGUGUUUCAAUUUGUGAGAAAUUGAUUAAGGAAGGAUUCGAUGUUGUAAGGAUUUUCAAAAGAAAAUAUAAGUACUUUCCAAGAAACCGAUUCUCAAUUUGUUAAGAGAAAACAGUUUUUCAGUUUAACUUUAAUCCACAAAACUAACAAAUAACAGAUGCAAGCUUCCUUGAUUAAGUAUCACACCUUUGUAGCAAGAGAUUACUUAUAGCUUACAAACAAAUUACGUAUUAUUUUGUGCCAUCAUAAACAAAUUACAAAAUAGAUUCUAUUUGUUGAAGAAACUUAUCAAGUAAUUUAGGUAUGAUAUAAUUUAGGUUAUUUCUUUAGGGUUUGAGUAUUUAAGUUUGGUUUUGUUAUGAAAAAUUUGUUGAUUCUCAAAACAAAAGCAAGUUCCUAUCUAGCACACAAAAAUAACCAAACAGAACACAAUCUGAGAGAAAACCUUAAAAUUACAGUGAACAAUGUUUUUGACGUGAACAGUGUGGGAACCAAAUUAAACCUGAACCAUAGGUCAAAUAAUUAGGCCAAUCAAUUUGGGAAUUAUUUGACCUAAUUAGGAGUUACCUAACCUAAUUGGGAGUUACCAAACUUAAUUGGGAAUUACCUAAUCAAAUUGGGGGUUACUUGAUCCUCACCUUAAUUAGGGAUUCGGUUAAAUCCCUAAUCCCUAAAUACACCAACCUCACCAACCACACCAAUCUCACCAACUACACCAACCCCACCAACCUUUCCAAGGUCAUUAUAAAUACUUGGUUACGCAUAAGGAUGAGGUACGUCAGAAUUACUGCUAAAACCUCUGUAGAGAUCUUCCCUCACAGAGCCUAGCUACCUCCUCUCUCUCUCUCUCUCUCUCUCUCUCUCUCUCUUUCUCUUUCUCUCUUUUACAUAAGGCUCCGGCUGCCCGGUUUAUAUUAUAAACAUAUCUCCAUACCCUAUUAGCUAUUAUUUUCUAUACGAUUCAAUUGAACUAAUUUAGGCAUCGGAAGGCCUUUGCCCAACACCCCCCGGUGUGGUCCUCGUAUUUGUUCUAUUUUGCAGGGAGAAAGAGGCGGCAAAGAAGAAAGAGGAAUCUUUCCAAUCGAAUAUUCUCGUGGAGAAAUUUGCUCCCACAAAUUGGUGCUUUCAUUGAGAGCACGAGUUAUACUCAACGCGUGCUCAAGGAAUCCGUUCCUCCUAUUUUCCAAUCAACUAAAGCCAUUCCACCCACGAUCCCGUGAUCGACAUGGUGGCGCCACCACCUCUCACCACCGUGCCACCUACCGGACUUCCAGCUGAGACCACUGCACCGGCCACCGCCGCCGAAUAUGGUGGAACCUCCCAUCAAGGUGGGCUCGUUACCACCGCCGACUUAGGCUCAGUCUUGGAGCAACUUCAAGCAUUUCCUCCAUUGCUUCCACGCUCCACACACUUCUCACCUCUCGAUCCACGAAGUCAAGCAAACCUUAGUCUAAGAGUUGGCCAGCUAGCUCAGAGAAUGGACGACCAAAGCAGUCUGAGGAGGCAGCUUCUCAACCAAAUAAGCUUGGCUCAAAACCUUGGCCUUGGAUAACCGGGCGAAGAGAGAAGGAUGGACGAACACGAUGGUAGGCAGCACGACGAGUACCAAGCAGGACGAGCAAGAGUAAGCAGACAAGGCGAUGGACAACAACGUGAUCGGCCUGCCGACAUGUCGCAGGCAUCUGUGAGCCACACUCAGAGCAGACGAAGUCACCCAUCCAGGUUGAGCCUGAGGAACGACGUGCGCGAGAGGCUGGGCCCACGAUCUGACAUCCAUGUCCGCCUGGGCCCGCAGGGAAAUGUACAUCAAAGGCUAGGUCCCCAGUGAGGUCAGCUAAACAACCAUCUCAAUGAGGAUCGUGAAGAAAGACGCUUAACUAUCCACUCGCAGAGGAACAUUCACGAAAGGCAAGGCCCCCAGGGAGGUUAACUGGAUAACCCUCACAAUGAGGAUCACGAAGAAAGGCUCUCCGCUGCUCACUCUCGAAGAGUCGACUCUCACCAACAAGCUACAGAGAAUCUUUCACAAGUAUAGUCCACCAACGCGCCACCUUGGCAGCGCAGGUGAGAAGGUCGACCCUCGGAGGACAAUGAGGAAGUCAGUCAAUAUUGUGGAGGUCACCAACGUAGUCGACUAGCAAUGUGUGCAGAAGACGUUGAGAAGCUCGUGAAUGACUGACUUCGAGACUUGAAGACCGGAGGAAACUUCGAGGAUUCACUACGUAAGGAGAUGGACCAGGUGAACUCUACUCCUUUCACCCUCGAUAUCGAGCAGGUUGCUCACCCAAAGUGAUUCUCGACACCCGCGUUCAUACACUUCAAAGGGGAUACCGAUCCCGAGAGCCAUUUAAAACACUACAAAAGUGUUAUGAUCCUCCACCAGGCUGACGACGCGCUAAUGUGCAAGGUAUUUGCGAUGACCUUGCGAGGAGCAGCCCAAGACUGGUUCCACACCCUACCAUCCGGGUCGAUCAGCAGCUUCAAGGAGCUGGCUUACGUCUUCACCAAAGAAUACACCUCUUACCGGACAAUCAAGAAGAACCCUGACCACUUGUACAACCUGCGCAAGAAGUUUGACGAAUCCCUUCGAGAUUACAUCAAGAGAUUCAAGGCAGAAAAGGCGAACAUUGUAGGAUGUGACGACCGAAAAGCGUCCUUUGCUUUCAAAAAAGGCCUUCCAACUGAGCACGACUUGUACCGCGAGCUGACUAUCACUCUCAGCCAGACUCUGGCAGAGGUCUACGUGACUGCGGAACGCUAUGCACUCUGGGAUGACAAUUAAAUCACCGCAAAGAAGUCUACAAAGCAGGAAGAUCAGUCGAUUAAGCGGGCAGGCCAAAGAAGCGACAGAUUUAACAACAGGAAUAAGGACUAGCGUAUGUCGCACCCACAAAGGGAGGCUACGGCAAGAGAGAACUAUACCAAGUUCACCAUCCCCAUACACCAAAUCUUAGCCCAAGUGAAGGACAAACCUUGGGUAAGAAGACCGCCACCCUUGAAAGGACAUCCAGACAAGAGGGAUACUAGCAAAUACUGUGCCUUCCAUGGGACGCAUGGGCACACUACAAACAACUGCUUUGCUUAGAAAGCGCACCUUGAAGAACUUGUGAGAGAAGGCCACUGCACUGAAUUCAUUGCGAAGCAGGCCAUCCAACAGAUUGAGGAUUGAGACACCGCCAAGGAGCCGCCUCAGAAGGUCAUAAGGAUUAACACAAUCCUAGCCGACUUCGAGGAGUUUGGGCUGACCAACAAGGAAAAGAAGAGGAAGAUCAAACAGGCCACUGUGAUUUCCCAAGUCUCGACCGACCUUCCAUCAGUAGAAGACGAUCCUGUGAUCGGCUUUCAAAAGAAAGAUCUGAUCGGCCUCGACAUGCCACAUAACGACGGCCUUGUCAUCAGCAUUCAAAUCCCCCAGGCCAUGGUCGACCGAAUCCACGCAGAUAAGGGCAGCAUAGCCAAUAUCCUACAACUGUCGGUCAUCCAGCAGAUGGGCUUGGAGACAAAGAUCAACAAAUCAGCCAGAUCGCUGACCGGCUUUAAUGGUGCAACAAUAGUUAUCGUGGGCAGGAUAAACAUCGACGUGUACUCCCUACCUGUAAUCAGCUCACAAACAUUCAUGGUCAUUAAUGAGGUCUCACCCUACAAUGGCAUUCUGGGGAAACCAUGGAUCUGCAAGAUCAACGCCAUCACCUCCGAGACAUAUCAAAAAAUUCGGUGCUCAAUUCUUAGAGGCGGUGUCAGGCAAUGGCGAGGAAAUGCUCCGCCCAGGGGCUGAAGAAAAGCAAACAAGCACAGUUCCUUUCUGUGAGCCAGGCAGAUCUGAAUGAAGAUGAACAACCGAAUCUUGCUCUCUUAUAGUAAUCAAAGCGUUAAGACCAAGCUGAGGAAAUCCGUCCAGAAGUCUUUCCUGAAGAAGGAUGGAAACCCGAGGAGGAUGUCGAGUUAAUACCCUUGGAUCCUGACCAACCAGAUAGAAAAGCGCGGAGUGGCUCGCGCCAAAGCCCAGACGAGAAGGUAGAGCUUACCACCUUCCUCCAGAGUAACAAAGAUAUGUUCGUGUGGUCACCAUCAGACAUGCUUAACAUCGACCUGAACAUCAUCGGUCACCGACUCCACGUCAACCCGCCCUGUAAACUAGUGACGCAGAAGAGACGCAACUUCGCACCCAAACGAGUCGCUAUCAUCGAAGUCGAGAUUGACAAACUCCUAGCUGCCGGCUUCAUCUUAGAGGUCUACUACUCAUAGUGGCUUGCCAAGAAAAUGGCAAAUUAAAGGUUUGCGUCGAUUAUACAGACCUUAACAAAGCAUGCCCUGAAGACAACUUCCCAUUGCCGAGAAUCGACAAACUCGUGGAUUCCACUUCUGGCAAUCAACUGCUCAGCUUCAUGGACGCCUACUCCAGUUAUAACCAAAUCUUGAUGCACGAGGAUGACAAGGCAAGGAACUUCUUUCAUCAUCGAAAGAGGGACCUACUGCUACAAGGUCAUGCACUUUGGGCUGAAGAACGCCGGAGUAACCUAUAAAAGGCUUGUGAAUAAAAUCUUCAAGAAGCAGAUCGGCAAAACUAUGGAGGUUGACGUGGAUGACAUGUUGGUCAAAGCCCCAAAACGUGCAGAUCACAUCAAAAAUCUUGCCGAGGCAUUCAACCUGCUUCGCCAGUAUUGCAUGAUGUUGAACCCGAGUAAGUAGACAUUUGGUGUAUCAUUCGGCCGAUUCUUGGGAUACCUAGUCAUGAAACGAGGUAUCGAGGCACACCCGCGUCAAAUCAAAGCCAUUCUCGAGAUGAAGCCACCUCAACCGAUUCCUCUCGAGAUCUACCGACAAGUGCAAACUAUUUUUCAAAGCUUUGAAGAAAGGACAAAGAGACAAAUGGGAUGAGGAAUGCGAAGUAGCUUUCCAUAAUCUAAAGACUUACCUCACUUCACAUCCCCUGCUCUCAAAGCUAAUUCCUGGCGAAGACCUAUACGUAUACCUGGCAGUGUCCAACUCAGCUGUUAGCUCAGCUAUCAUCCAAGAAGAACUGGGAACCCAACAUCCGGUAUUCUACAUGUCAAAAGCUCUCCUCGAUGCAGAAACUCGCUACCUGAAGUUGGAGAAGCUCAUUUUGGCUCUUAUAGUUUCCACAAGAAAGCUACGAUUCUACUACUAAGCUCACCGAGUCGUCGUCAUGACCGACUUUCCUUUAAGAUCAAUCCUCCACAGCCUUGACGCUUCUCAGCGACUUAUGAAGUGGGCUAUAGAGCUAAGUCAAUACGACCUCCUCUACCGACCAAAAAUUGCAAUAAAAGCCCAAGCUUUAGCAGACUUCGUCGCAGAAUUCACCCCAUCAGUCGAAGAAAAGAAGCUGGUAAACAAAAAUAAGGAAAGUUCAAAAGCAAACGGAGCAUCGAACCAAAAGGAAGCUGGAGCAAGAGUCGUCAUCACCACCCCGAAUGGAACACUGUUGGAGCAAGCUAUUUCGCUUGGAUUCCCAGCCUCGAACAACGAGGCAGAAUACGAGGCAUUGCUCGCCGGCCUACGCUUGGCAAAAGAGCUCGCAAUCAAGAAGCUAGCCAUCUACUCAGAUUCACAGUUGAUUAUGAAUCAAGCCUCAGGUGAAUACAUGGCGAAGCACCCAAGGAUGAUCUUGUACCUUGACAAAGUCCAAGAGCUGUUGAAGGCAUUUCCUACCUUCACCAUCCAAUAAGUGCCCCGGGCAGAGAACGAGCAUGCAGACGCACUGGCAAGCCUAGGGUCAGCGCUGGAUACCCAGUUCAGACGCUCCAUCCCGGUCGAACACCUUGACCGACCAAGCAUUGAAGAAAUAGAGCCGGUCAACAUAAUGCAGAUUGACGAGGACCCCAGCUGGCAAGAUCCCAUCAUCGACUACUUGACGAAUGGAAACCUGCCUACGGACAAGUCCGAAGCUAGAAAGGUCCAGCAGAAGGCCGCGAGAUACUACAUGCAUAGCAACAAGCUCAUCCGCAGAUCAUACUCCGGCCCUCAUUUCACCUGCAUAAAGUACCCUCAAACACUUGAGGUCCUCUGCAAAAUUCACGACGGCGAGUGUGGCAACCACUCUGGGGGCAGAUCGCUCGCCCAGAAGACUUUAAACAUAGACUACUUCUGGCCUACCAUGUGCCAUGACUCCGCCGAAUAUGCUAAGAAAUGUGAUCGCUGCCAACGAUACAAGUCGGUCCCUAACCUACCUGUUGAAGUCUACCAUUCGCAAAACAGUCAAUGGCCAUUCAUGCAAUGAGCCAUUGACUUAGUGGGCCCCUUGCCACAAGUACCCGCCAAGAAAGAAAUGAUGAACGUCGCCACUGAUUACUUUAUUAAAUGGAUCGAGGCCGAAGCUCUUUCCUCUACUAAAGAAGCCGAUGUGGAGCGAUUCAUCUGGAAAAACAUAAUCUGCCGGUUUGGCUGCCCACAGUCGCUGGUUACUGACAAUGGCUCGCAGUUCAUUGGCAAGCAGAUCACCGCAUUCUUUGUGAUAUACAAGAUCAAGCAACACCUCUCCACCCCGAGGUAUCCACAAGGAAAUGAGCAGGCCGAGGCAUCCAAAAAAGUCAUAUUAGACUGCUUGAAGAAAAGGCUAAAAGGUGCUGAAGGGAAAUAGGUGGAUGAAGUCCUCGGACUACUAUGGGCUUAUUGCACCACUAAGUGAAGAUCGACUGGCGAAACCCCAUUCUCCCUCGCCUAUGGGACAGAAGCGAUCAUCCCCUUUCACAUCACAGUCCCCUCCAUAAGCCUUGAGGUGGGCAGUGUUGAUAAGAACUCCGAGCAGAUGAGGCUCAACCUUGACUUACUUGAGAGCGAGCACGAGAAGACCAUUAUUCCAGUCGCCUCCUAUCAGUAGCAGUUGAAGUCUUACAAUGACAAAAGAGCCAGGGUCAGACAGUUUCAACAGGCGACCUCGUGCUAAGGAAGGCUUUCAUCACUGCACAAAGGCAAGGGUCAAAAAAGAUUAAUCCCAACUAGGAGGGCCCUUAUGUGAUCAGUCGGGCCAGGGGCAAAUGAAGCUACACACUGGACACCGUGGAUGGAAAGGAAAUACCAUGAUAAAGGAAUGCUCACCAUCUCCAAAAGUAUUAUUUGUAGUGCUUCCUCCUGGCUGCUAGAAGUUCUAAAUUUUUGUGCCUAGUUAUUUCCAUUUUCGAAUAAAGGACUGUAAUCUUAUGAAUAUCAAUAUAAGUUCAGCUUCUCAUUCCAAAAUGUCUCAUCUACCCACAAAACACAACAGUUGCCUAUAAGAAGCGUCCUUAGGGAGACGAAGGGUGCGCUAGGAAUUUCCUAUGAGAGAUAUUUAGGUUCCUAUCCAUUUCCUAAGGGAGGUAAGAUAGACACACAGUUGCCCAUAAUGAACGUCGUAAGAGAGACGCAGGGCGACAACUAGAAGCGUCCGUUUGAAGACGCAGCCCGCGAAAAAAGCGUCCUAAGGGAGACGCAGGGUACACUAGGAGUUUCUUAAAAUGGGGUGUCCAUGCUCUCUGAGGGAAAUAUCCAGGUUCCUAUCUGUUUCCUAAGGGAGGCAGGAUAGACACACAGUUGCCCAUAAGGAGCGUCCUAAUGGAGAUGCAGGGCGACGACUAGAAGCGUCCGUUUGGAGACGCAGCCCGUUAAAAAAGUGUCCUAAGGGAGACGCAGGGCGCGCCAGGAAUUUCUUAAAAGGAGGUCUCCAUGCUUCCUGCGGGAAAUAUCCAGGUUCCUAUCUGUUUUCUAAAGGAGGCAGGAUAGACACACAGUUGCCCAUAAGGAGCGUCCUAAGGGAGACAUAGGACAACAACUAAAAGCGUCAUUUGGGAGACGCAGAACAACAACCAAUGCAUCCUACGGGAUGUGCAGAACAUGUCCAGAGUCCCUCAAGGGGGACCUUGACACUCGUCAACUUCCUAAGGGGAACUAUCCUACGGGACAUGCAGAGCACACCCGGAGUUCCUCAAUGGGGACCCUAGCACUCACAAAUCUCCAAAGGGAAAUGUGCAAUCAAAACACAAGCUGGUUACUCAAGCAGUUCACUAGUCAAGUAUGCAAAUUAAAGUUGGAAAAUAUAACUGAAAUUUCCAUAACAAGCAGACCAACCGGCCAAGUUCAACAAAAAGAAGAUGGUCAGACAAGACCAAUUAUUCUAAACAAGAAAGCAAACUACAAAAGCUGAAAAGAAACAAAGAAGUCUUCAUAUACUCCAAGACGCCAGCAGGAGACCUCUGAUCCGCAGCCACUUCGGCAUCCACCUAAUCAACUACGCCUUCAGCAGCUCCAUCCGUCUGCUCUGCGACAUCUGCCAUCAACUCAUCCACUGCAUCCUCAUCUGCUCCAUCCUCUCCGGCUGCCGCAUGGAAUAAGUCAGGGCAGAACAUCUCAAUGUCUACAUCGUCAAUCGCAUAAAAAGGAGUAGUCCCAUUUGCACAGUGCAGGUAGCCCAACUUGUACGCAUCUAUGGUGGCUUCAGACUUGGAUUUUUUAGCAGACUUGUGGUAGGCACGAAAUUUGGCUAGGAGCUUGUCAUAGUUAAGAAAGACGUUAGCAUUCUUGCGCUGAAGAUGAAAAAAGGCAUCUUUUCGACUAGCCAAGUCAGCAGCAGAAGAGCUGAGCUCGGAAUCCUUCUCUAUAAGAGAGCUUUUCAGCUCAAAUAUCAUCGCCCUCAAAUCAAACGUCUUCUUCUCAUAACGGGCCUGCUUGACAGAAAGCUUGUAGCCCAACUCAGCAUUCUUCUUCUCCAGCUCUGCUGAGGGGCAGCAGCAGACGAGUUUCGGAUAGUCUCGGCAGCAAAAACCAAUCCCUUUUGAAUCAGAUAGAAUGUCGCUUCCCUUUGCUUUUCCAAGGAAAGGCUAAAAAAAGUGUCAAGAUCACCAGCUUGACGGAUGUGAUCGACCAACUCAGUACAUGAGGACGGGUUUAAUAGGAAGUUUGUCUUGAGCGGGUCAGACAUGCAUGUAUCCCUUGCAGGGCAAGACCUAUUCACCUUGGGAUCAACCGCCGAUGCUGAAGAAGAACCCUUCGCCCGGGCAGACGACUCUCUCAUCUUCUUAGCCUCAGCCAACCUCACCUCCAAAGGAGUCAGUGAUGCUGAAUCAACUCCACGCUUGAUUGCCCGUGGCUCAACAACCGGAUUAUGAACAGACUUCCCGCUUCGAUUGCCCGACUGAUGCAGAAGACUCGGACUCCGUAGAGAAAUAUCUGCGUCUCUUUGGCGCUCGGCACAGCAGGCACGAACUAUCUCACGAAGUAGGUCAUGAUUGCCAAGCUCGACAGUAGGAACUUGAGUCUUUUCAGCAAAAUGGGACUUUGGUUUCUUCCUCGAUGGAGACUCAUUCUUUGCGUGCGAAGAAGUAGCUUCAUCUCUUGAAGAUUUGGCAGCAGCCUUUCUCUUUGAAGUGGAUUCAGCCAAGCACUUCCCUUGCUUAGCAGGGAGAUCAUCAGGGUCAGGACCGUUCUACUUCCACCUUUCGACAUCCUCGGUAGGGGGCAAACCACCGUCUUCCUCCCGGUGCUCACUCAACAGCCAGCACCACUCGCGAAACCUUAGAGGGAUGUUCAAAGCACGACAGACCUUAGCCAUGUCCCGUGCAAGCUCCAAUUGCUUGCUGAUGUCACUCACUACAAGCGGAAGACAAAAGUUAGUUAGCCACGCUUCAAGAAAUUCAAAUAAAAAGGAGUAGAUCAAAAACCGCAAAAAGACAUACUAUCACAGUAGGUGAUGGGAACAAGUGGGCCGUCACCAACAACGCCUUCCCACCGUCCGCUGACUUCCAACACAUCGUCAUGCCAAGCGUGAUCUCUUUGACUAAGACUGUCAAACAGCUUGGCCUUGUAAAUGCGAACUUGGGCAUACUCCUCGAAGUGCCUCACUUCGAAAAAAUAGAAGAACUCCCGCACCAUCAGCUCCAGCAUAAAGAAACGGCUCAGAUUUUCAAAACAUAUGACAGCCCGGUAGACAUUCGAAGUACACUGACUCGGAGCACAUCCCAUGGCGCAAAACACCUCCUUGAAAAGCUUUGACAUCGGGAACUUGAAACCCAAGAAGAAGUAAAAGGGAUGGAACGUGAUGACUCUAGCAUUUGGAAGGUUCGCAUCCACGCAGGGCACGGCGUUAGUCAAAGGCUUUGCCAACUUGAUAUGCACAUCGUCAGGAAUUGCAGAAGCAUAAGCAGCUCGCCACCUCUAGAGUUGACCUACAUUCAUAACGCGGUGCAGGUUGGCCACAAACCUUUUCUCGUGCACCUCGGAACCUCCCCACAAAUACAAAGGCACCUGAGAGCUUGGAGCCUUGCUACCAUCUCCGGAAGACAUGAUUGGUCAACGAGUAGUUGCAAAAAGAAAAAAAUUCUACAAGUUAGAAUACAAGAAAUAUUUGCAAGUUGGAAAAAAAAAAGAAAAAAAAAGACAGCAGCAAAAAUAAAUAAAUAAAUAAAAAUUGAGCUGCUGGGAUCAGCCCAAGUCAAAGGAAGUCAGCCCAGCAGGUGCUCCAGCACGAAACCCAGCAGUCGUGACAGCCCAGCUUGCUCCUCCAGCACACCACAGGCCGAGGUAGCAUGCUAGGCCCUCCUAGCCUUUCUGACCAGCUAGCUCCAGCGCCUGCAUUCGCAAGCCCACGCCAUGCGAAAAGCCCAAUGCUGCCUCUCCUAGCGCGAGCCCACUCCGCGCCCCAGGCCUGGAGCCACCAGACUACCAGUUUGAAGCCCAGCGUAGCCUGCUCGAGCCCACUAGCCUCCAGACCUCCAUGCUCGAGCCCAAUGUGCGCAGUCUCAAACCUGCCAGCCUCCCAAAGUCUCCAGCCAGGCUUCCAAUUAUAAUUACGUCCCGUGCCUCACAACUCCAAUGACCAGCUAGAAGGCAUGGUCCAAGCUGCCAAAAAAUUGGAAUAAAAGGAAAAAAAUUAUGAACAGCCCAAGAUUAAUUACCUUGGGUGUGUAGCGAGGACAAAGUCUCAGGCACGUUGAAAAAAUCUCCAAAGUUCUCUCUCUCACUGGCAAAUUUGGAGGAAUGAAUUUUUGAUGUGAAGAAUAAAUUAGAGGAGCCCUACAUUUUUAAGGAGCAAAAUCCCUUGACCUACAAUGAAUCUCAAAACCUUUCCAAAAUGGGAGUUCAUAAAAUUAGCAAUUUGAACACCUCCUCCACUCGGGAGCCCAGGUCCACGAAGGAAGCCCAAUUACAACCCAACAGACAGUUUACAUCUCCUACACGCAACCACGCACCAUGCACUAGGGGGCAUUUGUGGGAACCAAAUAAAACCUGAACCCUAGAUCAAAUAAUUAGGCUAAUCAAUUUGGAAAUUAUUUGACCUAAUUUGGAGUUACCUAACCUAACUGGGAGUUACCUAACCUAAUUGGGAAUUACAUAAUCAAAUUGGGGGUUAAUUGAUCCUCGCCUUAAUUAGGGAUUCGGUUAAAUCUCUAAUCCCUAAAUACACCAACCUCACCAACCACACCAACCUCACCAGCUACACCAACCACACCAACCUCACUAACUACACCAACACCACCCAACCUUUCCAAGGCUACUAUAAAUACUUGGUUACACACAAGGAUGAGGUACGUCAGAACUACUGCUAAAACCUCUGUAGAGAUCUUCCCUCACAAAGCCUAGCUACCUCCUCUCUCUCUCUCUCUCUCUCUUUUACAUAAGGCUCCGGCUGCUCGGUUUAUAUUAUAAAUAUAUCUCCGUACCCUAUUAGCUAUUGUUUUCUAUACGAUUCAAUUGAACUAAUUUAGGCAUCGGAGGGCCUUUGGCCAACACCCCCCGGGUGUGGUCCUCAUAUUUGUUCUAUUUUGUAGGGAGAAAGAGGCGGCAAAGAAGAAAGGGAAAUCUUUUCAAUCGAAUAUUCUCGUGGGGAAAUUUGAUCCCACAAACAGUGUUUUUGGAGUUUUCGAUGUCCCUUUUUAACCCAAAAUACCUUUCCGAAUAGAGAAUGGCGUAACUAACAGAACUUACUGCGUAGCAGUGACGUAAGGCCAUUUUUAGGUUUUAAGGUCAUUUAGGAUGUCAAAAAAGGUUUUAAAGUUUUGAAGAUAUAAAAAAUCAAUUGAAACAUGCUUUUUCCAGAUUCUUUAAUAUUCAUAGUAUUUAGAAAGAUGUUUAAAACUGUUAUCAAAAUUUUAAACAUAACCAAAAUAGUCAUGACAUCAACGGAUAAAGAAAUUGCAAUAGGCAUGCUUGAAACGAUCUCAGUGUGUGUGAGUAACCAUGUGCUCUGAUACCAACUUUUAAAUUUUCUAUAUAAGUGUCCAUUAUCUUUCACAUAAUAUGAACCAAAACACAACUUAGUAGUUUUUCACCGCGUAGUAGUAUUGCCAAGCAUACACGUAUUAUAACAUUAGUAUAUUAAUAAUGAUUAAUUUUAGUUUGGUGCCCUGAACUCUCACUCUUAAGGCUUGUUUGUUCCUACGCUCUCAAUUUUAACAAUAAAGUACGACCCUAAGCUUGGAAAUUUAUUGCAAUUUGGUUCUGUAGUUAGAAUGACUAUUAAAAAAUAUGUUAAUUGAUAAUGUGGCAAACGUGGUACCUGCUUCUUUAAACUUGAUUAUAAUAUUAAUAAAAUAUUACAAAUCAAUUAAAAAUAAAAAUAAAUGAAAAUAUAAUGAAAUUGAAGGGGAAAAACAGUAACCCAGAACCCACCGUCCUCCACGGCCACCACAACCAUUGGUGCCACCCUUGAAGCCUAACAAGGUUUUCAUGUAUGAUUACAGACAUAGCAGCAAAGAAAAAAACUCUUAUAAACAGAGCCAAAGUCACCUUCUCCAAACUUGUUAGAGGACUGGAAGCCAUUAGUGGCAGACUUCAAUUCCUUGGAAGAAAAAAUUCUGAAGCUUUCUUGAUUUUAGGGUAUUUAACAAGUACAAAAAAGCAAUCAAGAACACAGUAAAAUCACAACAAAAAUACAGAGGCACACAUGCUUGAUUUUGCCAAAGGUAUGUACUUGACAAUGCUUGAAAGCAGAAAUCUUGGAACUCACUGUGGAUCUUGUAGAGGUUGUACGGGUAGAGAUUGACCAAGAAUGACGAAUUUGUGCCCGGAGGAACUGGAGCAAGGAUCUUAUGACGGUGUCCAGGACGAGCUCUUAGAAUUGAGCGGAGGAAGGGGAAAUGGCGUCGUGACGACGUUGAUAAUUGAGAAGGUGGUGGAUACAGACAUCUUGUGGAUGCCGAGGUCACCGAGGGGAGAAAUUAUACAAUGAUACGGUAUCACCAGGUCCCACUCAACUGAGGGAGGGUGUGUUGAAGAAUAUGAGUCCACAUCGGAAACUUGAUUAAAUAAAGACUUAAAUGUCAAAAUAGUCCCUGUGUUUUAAUCAUUUGGCCAAUUUAAUCCCUGUGUUUUUAAUUUGGCCGAUUUAGUCCUUGUGUUUUCCUCCGUUAGCUAAUAUUAUCCAUUCCAUUAAAUUAUUAUUAAAAAAGUUCAUUAAAGUUUUAAAAAUUAAUAAAAACUGUAAUUAUUUUAAAUAAAAAAAAAUUACAAGUUCACUUUAAUGAUUAACAAAAUAAAGGCCUGCAAGCCUCAAAUUCUCCGAUUGAUCACCACCGAUUCAAGCCUCUAAUAAAAAGUUAUCCGAUUUGCAUCAACACCGCCAGUCUCUUCUACAUGCCCGUAAUACAAUUCAUGGGGUGGAUAAAAACAUUAGCAAGAGUAAAAGGGCCUCGACAGCCAUGAAAAGAAGGAUGAACAAGAACAAAUGGCUCUUGCAAUCAUGCUUAUCCUUUAUCUUAUUAAGCUUACCUGCUAGCCUACUGCUGCACUGCCUUGUGCCUAUUUUUGUUUCUCUUAACAAAAAGAUUAACAAAAUAAAAAAAAUUUGGAAACCCAACCUCUAAACCCUCUUCUUCUCUCCAACAGCCAACACCAAACCACCAUGAGCGAUCCCACCCAACCACUUCCCCCCUGGAAUGUGGUGGCUGGUCUUAAUUUUUUAUUAAAUAAUUAGAGAUUUUUAAUUAGUUUAAAUAACAUUUAUGAAUUUUUUAAACAACAAUUUAACGGAAUAGAUAACAUUGACUAACGGAGUAAAACACAAGGACUAAAUCAACCAAAUUAAAAACACGGGGACUAAAUUGGCCAAAUAAAUAAAACACAGGGACCAUUUUAACAUUUAAGCCUUAAAUAAAAUACAAAAUAUAAUGAAUGGUUCUACUACUAAUAAUACCGAGGCCUUUUGUGAUAAAACCUCACACCUACUGGACUUUGUAGGUGGUUAAGUUGGGGACAAUAUCGGGGUUGUUAGUAGUGGGCCGCUAGCCCGUCUCUCUGAAUUUAACAUGGUAUCAGAGCAGGUUGAUUGACUGGGCCUGAAUUGGGUCUCUACCCUUACCCAAUAUGUGAUGUUCACAUGUUGGGCUUGAGUGUUUAUUCUUACCCUUUACCUAAUAUGUGGUGCUCACAUGUUGGGCUCGAAUGAUUGACUCCGAUGUGAACUUGGCUCCACGUGUGGCCCACUAUGUAGUGGUCUCACAUGAGGAGGCGUGUUGAAGAAUAUAAGUCCCACAUUGGAAACUUGACUAAAUAAAAUACAAAAUAUAAUAAAUGGUUCUACUACUAAUAAUACCGAGACCUUUUAUGAUUAAACCCCACACCUACUGGACUUUGUAAGUGAUUAAAUUAGGGACAAUAUCUCGCACGUCUCAUACCAUGUUUAUACUUCUUGGUCCCUAAUGCGCAUUUACAUGAACACACACCUGUUUCAAUUAUCCCAUAUAUGAAACAGAGUAUUUUUAAAUAUAUAUAUAUAUAUAUAUAUAAUUUCGAGAAAUUAAAUAUUUUGUUACAUAUUUAGUUUAUAAGUUAUAUAUUUAAAUUGAUUAUAUAUAUAAUUAUCUUGGUAUGUGUUAUAUUUUCAGAAAUUUUUCUUAUUAAUUAUUAAAAAUAAUAAUACUAUAAUAAGUAUAUGUUUUGUUUUAGAUAGCCUUAUCUCGUUGUUACUUUCUGCAUAUUAAUACUUGAACAGCUAAGUUCAAUAGUCUAGUUGUCAUCUAAAUCUUUAGACAUGCAACACUUAAAACUCACAGGUGUCAAAAAAAAGACUCACAUGUGUCAUUAUACCUAGAUGACUAAGCUCUAAUUUAGCAUGAGGUGUUGGCAAUCUAGUUACAUCUAAACUUGAAGCCAAACAUUAUCAGCUGCCAUACAUUGGACCAAUUGAAGGAAAGUAGUUGCCACGUAUGUAGUACUAUAAAUAGGGACCAUUCCAUUUCAUCUUGAAGAGCAAGGGAGGCAUGGUUUACAUGAGAAAUAAGAGGGAAAGAAAGAAAGAAAAAGAGAAAAAGGACGAAGAGAGAGAGAGACUGCUGAUGAAAUUCUUGGAGGAGAAAUAGAGUGUAGUUUGUGAUUUCUUAAACUUUGAACUAGAUUUGGAAUUAAGGUAGGGGGUUUUUUGGGGCCUUUACGAAGAUUGAUUUAAUUAAAUUUCGUGAGCAUUAUAUUAUGUGUUGUACUAUAAUUUGGUUGAUAUUCUUUGUUAUUGGGUGUUUACGUGUUGUUAAUUAGCAUUAUAUUAUUUUAUUAAUAUUGACAUGUUCAUAUGUUAUUGAAAAUGAUUGGAAUUAUUGGGUUGAUAAAGAAAGUUUGGAAAAAAGGGUAAUAGGAAGGAUCUUUUGUAUAGUUGAGUCUGACCAUUGUAGGAACUAAUUUCAGGCGAGCCCGUGUGCACAGUAGAAUAGGAUAUCAGUGGUAUAAUUGUCAAUUAUGUGAUUGCAUAUCAUUUAAUUUAGUUAUAUCAAUCUACUGUGGUAAAGUCUCAUGUCUCUAUUAAGCGGUGGUUGCUUAUCCCUCUAAAAAGUUUGAUUUGCAGGAAGUAAGAAUACUAAGGAGGGAACAGUGUCCAUAAAUCAGUUCUAUAAAAACCAAUACCAUAUCGUCUGCCACAUCUAUUCAUAACCUACUCAAAUUUUGAAAAAAAUAAAAACGAUGGUGGUGAAAAUCAAAGGCUGCUAUGUUCUGAAACCCUCUACACCAACAUUGCAAGGUAGCCUAGCUCUCUCAGAAUCGGAUCAAAUUGACACCAUAAGUCAUGUUAGCAUUAUCAACUUCUACAGACCAGACCAAAACUUUGUCUCACAACCUGACGCCAUUGUCAACACUCUCAAAGACUCAUUAUGCCGCGCAUUGGUGCCAUUCCAUCCACUAGCCGGUCGUUUGCGUUGGAUUGGCGGAGGCCAUCUCGAGCUCGAUUGCAAUGGCAUGGGGGUUCAGUUCAUUGAAGCUGAGUCCGAUUCGAAACUUGAUGAUCUUGGUGUUGGCGAGCUCUUACUUAGUUAGGAUUUUGGUUCCUUAUUUUAUUAGAAUUUUGGUUACUUACCAAUUAUUAUUUAGUCCUAUUGUAAUUUAGAUAUAUUUCCUAUUUUAUUUAGGGUUAACACAUCUUUGUACUUGUAUAAAUACCUCAAUAUUGGAGAAGAAUAAUAAUAUGAGUGUAUCUUAGCAUAACUGAAUAUUUACCUUACUUUGUUUGACAUGGUAUCAGAGCCAGGUUCCUAACCUGUGAUAACCUCUGCCAAGUUGAGAGUCGUUGGCACUCCUCAUUCCUAACUCAUCAUGGGUCUUCAUCUUGUAUAGUCAUUUUCUUUUGUUCAUCCUCUCAUAUGUGUUUUCACCGCACCUAGUCUUCACAUUCUUCUUUGCUACUGUUCCAAAAUUUUUAUUUUUCAUCUUUGUAGGCCAUAUGGUCUUUCUUGAUGUCUCAGCUUCUCUAUCUUUGAAACUUCAUAACAAGUCUCUUUACUCCGUGAGCCUCGUCACCGCUAACUGAGCCAUUGCUUUCCUCCGCGAGUCUCGUCACCGCUCGCCGAGCCUUUCCUUUGACUGUUCUGCGGGUCUCUGUCUUCUUUGGCUGCUCUCUUGAGUUGCUUUUCCGCUUCUCAGUUUGAGCAUCUUAUCUUUGUCUCUGUUCAUGAUUUGCUGGGUUUCCUCCCUUACUAUUCUCCUUUUCUGAAGUUUUUUCUUUAUGGGACAGCCGUAUGCUACCACCUUCCCCUCUUGCAUUUUUUUCUGCCAUGAGACUGGCAUGUUUGAGUCUCUUUACUAUUAUUUCAAUUUCUCUUCUUUCAAAUCUCGAUCCUUUACCAGUGUCAGAUUUGAUUGGGAGAUAGAUGCAACUUCAUUUGGGUGCUGUAACUUUAUUUUUCGGUGUUGCUUUCUCAAAUCUCGACUCUUUUAUAUCGUCAGAUUUAAGGGGGAGUGACACCGCUGCUCAUCUAUUCUGCUGCAAUUUAGCUACCUAUCUGCCAUGGCUGAUUCUUCUACAUCUGAGCGUCAAUUAGCUUCUGUUUCUUAAGUGCCACUUUUCUUAUGGUUUCGAAUACCCCUUCUCUUCAGGAGGAGAUGGGGCGUGAAGAGAAGUUGUCUCUGCAAUAAUGAAAGUAUUUGUUAUUGUUAUUGUUGCUAACUACUAUGUCUUUUGCUAGUGCCAGUACCGUUGCUCAUCCUUGUUAUGUCUCUUGCUGGGGACAAUGUUAUUGCUCUUGCUUAUUAUGACUCUUGUUGGGGACAGUGUUGAUUACUGUUGAUGAUGCUUGUUAUGUCCCUGCCUUGUUGCUCUUGCUGGUGCCAGUGCCUUGUAUUGCUGUUGUUUGGUACUAGUAUUUUGCUCCUGCCUAUUAUGACUCUUGCUGGGGACAGUGUUGAUUACUGUUGAUGAUGCCUGUUAUGUCCCUGCCUUGUUACUCGUGCUGGUUUGGUACUAGUAUUGUUGCUCCUGCCUGUUAUGGUGCCAGUAUUGUUGCUCAUGCCUUUGCUGGUGUGUUUCUGUUGUGGUCGAUAUUGCCACCGUUGAUGUUGUCUUUUCUUGCUUCGCUUUCCGUUGAUGUGGUCAUUGUCGUUGUUGUUGUUGUGGCCUUGCCCUUUGCCUUUGCUUCUGCCUUACCUACUGUCGUACUCACAGGGUUUCUGUGUUCUGUCUUAUCUAUUGCCGUGCUCACAAGGUUUUUGUGUUCUGCCUUAUCUACUGCCAUACUCACAGGGUUUCGGUUUAUGUGUUUUGCCUAAUCUACUGUCGUGCUCACAGAGUUUCUAUGUUCUGCCUUAUCUACUGCCAUCCUCACAGGGUUUCUGUGUUCUACCUUACCUACUAUCGUCCUCACAGGGUUUCUGUAUUCUACUAUUUGCCCUAUUUUUUACGGUUUGCUCUUGUGUUUCUGUUGCGAACUUUGCUUUAGUUUGUCAUUUGUUUCACUCGUGGUUGACGAAAAGACCUUAUCUACAAUUAGUGCUUCUCAAGUAUGGUGUUCUGUGACUCGCUUGUCAAGUUGGGCGUGCGAAAUAUCUUUGCCCAACUUGAGGGGAAGUGUUGGCAAGCUCUUACUUAGUUAAGAUUUUGGUUCCUUAUUUUAUUAGAAUUUUGGUUACUUACCAAUUAUUAUUUAGUCAUAUUGUAAUUUAGAUAUAUUUCCUAUUUUAUUUAGGGUUAACACAUCUUUGUACUUGUAUAAAUACCUCAAUAUUGGAGAAGAAUAAUAAUAUGAGCGUAUCUUAGUAUAACUGAAUAUUUACCCUACUUUGUUUGACACUUGGUGACUUCUCUCCUUCUCUAGAAUAUGACUAUCUUAUCCCCACUGUAGACUACACCCUCCCAAUUCAUGAACUUCCUAUAUUGCUUGUAUAGUUGACUAGGUUCAAGUGUGGUGGUGUUAGUCUUAGACUAUUUCACAUGCUGUUGUUGAUGGGCAAAGUACAUUUCAUUUCAUUUCUGAGUGGGCUAGGCUUGCAAAGGGUGAGCCAAUUGGUGUAAUGCCGUUCCUGGAUCGAAAGGCCUUUCAAGCUCGAACACUCCCAGCUGGAAAUACUCUAGGGCUUGACCACUCAGAGUUAGACCAUCCACCCCUUUUGCUCGGCCAAUCGGAUAAUAUCGAUCGAGGAGAGGAAGAAGAAGACCACUGUGGCCAUGUUGAAGCUAACCAAGCAACAAAUUGAGAAACUUAAGCGAAUGGCAAACGAGGGGAAUGAUUACAAGAAUUCUGGCACUAAGCCGGCUUACACACGGUAUAAGACCGUGGCAGGGCACAUAUGGAGAUGUGCGUCUAAGGCUAGAGUUCACAGAAAUGAACAACCUACGGCAAUGGGAGUUUGCGUUGAUUUGAGGAGUCGUAUGCAACCCCCAUUGCCCCAAGGAUACUUUGGAAAUGCAACAUUUUAUGGGGUUGCUAGAAGUCUUGCUGGUGACUUGGUGUCCAAACCAUUAGGGUACGCAUCGAGUAGAAUAACGGAGGCAAUCGAGAAGGUGUCGAAUUAUUACGUGCUGUCCGCCAUUGAUCACUUCAGGAACCAACCGAACUUGACUAGGUUUCAAGCCCUUCAUGCUCUAGGGAUUGCCGAAGGGGAUUUGUAUGGAAACCCUAAUCUUGAGGUUGUGACUUGGUCGACACCGCCUAUGUAUGGGCUUGACUUUGGAUGGGAAAAGGAAAUGUAUAUGGGUUCAGGAACAUAUGAUUUUGAUGGGGAAUCCUUCCUCCUUCCAAGUCCUGAAGGAGAUGGUUCUAUGGUUCUGACUUUGUGUUUACAAGUGGCCCAUAUGGACGCUUUCAAAAAGCACUUCUAUGAAGAUAUUAUACUGCAUAAGUUAUAUAGCAAGCUAUAAGCUGAGAAAUACAGAGCAGAUAUAUGGAAAAUAUAUAUAUAAAAUAUCAGCUUAUUAAUUGGUCUUCAGUGAGAAACAUUUUCAAAAAUAAAGUAAUUUGUCAAGUAUAUGUUAAGUUAACGUAGCUAUGGACGAUUUAACGUAGCUAUGGACGAUUGAUUUCUCCAGCCAAGUAAAACAGAUGGUUGAGUUUCUUUCUUUAUAAUUAUGUAUGAAUAAUGCAAUGCAUGGCAGUAGGUGAAUCUUACUACUGUGAAAGAUGUAAUUUGCAUUGUAAUUCAAAUAAUUUUAGUAAAUUCACAUCCUGGUUGGUGUUAUUUUACUAGCCUCUUGGCAAAAGCUCUGCCAAUUGGCUUAUUUUUUUUUUUCAAAGAUCAUUAAAAUGUUUAUUAAAAUUAAUAUAUAUUAAUUUUUUUUUGAAUUUUUUAUGUGUUUUUAAUAGGAUCCAGAUUCUGAUUUUGUUUUUUAUUUUAAUUUUUUUAAUACACAAAAGUAUAAAUUUACUAUAUUAUACUUAUUUAUUAUAUUUUCAAUUCUUAAUAUUAUAAUUAAUUAUGAGUAUUUUAUGGCAUUUUGAAUGUUUCAUCAUUCAUUAUCUAUAUCUUUUUGAGAAAAGAUGGUAUUUCAUUAAAUCCAAAAGAACAUUACAUAACCACAAGAUGUGGUGUUGUUGGCAAACUGCCACCUUAACUGCCACCUUCAACUGACGAGCUACCUGAUACUUCAAUGACAGAAAUUCAAAACCCGUUAAAAACACUUUGUGGCCAGAAGCAAAGUGAACCUCGAACGGGGAUUAUCCCACCCUUCGAAUUUUUGAAUGGGUUUCAUGUUCCCCCAAUAGGUCUGGCGGGGGGCUUGAGUGGGUUUGGUGGUAUGAUACGGUAACUUGUGAUAUUGUUGCUUUAUCCAAAAAUUUGAUUGAUUGUUGGCUGCAGACUCCUCUUAAUGGCACUCGUGUCCGUGCCUCUUGGAUUUACGGAAAUCCAUACAGAGACAAGAAAGAAGAGUUUUGGCAUGGUCUGGAAGGGCAAGCUACUGAUGCUCCUUGGUUCUGCGGCGGAGACUUAAACGAAAUCAUGUGGGGGCUUAGAGUUGUCUCGCUUGAGGCCCAAAGAAAAUUAAUCAGGUAACGUUUUCAGAGAAUAUUAUCAGAGAAUAAAAACAAGAAAACGAAUUUGCAUUUUCAGAAAAUGAAAAUACGUCUGGUAGAUUAAUUAUAAAACAUUUUUAGAAAACAAAAACAAUGAAAAUGUGUCUAGUAGUACACUUUGAAAUAAUAAUAUGUGAGUUAUUUUUACGAACAAGUUUCCCAUGAGAAUGAAAACCUCAACAAAUUUACAGAGAUGCUUUGAUCUCUCAGAAUUGUUAGAAUAGCUCUUGGAUGAUUCAUAAUCAAGCAGAAUAGGUACUGUAGUGCAGCUCCUGGUCAGCAAUCAUCAAUCCAGCCACUUCCAACCCCGUCCAGACUGAAGAGAUCUUAAUUAUGCCCAUCCAAGAAGCCUCUACAUGGCUAAAAUAGAUUAAAACUCUGCCAAUCUCAAUAUUGCUGUCAAUUUUCAGCUGAACCUCAUCAGUUAAAGGUGCUGAUGUUUGAAUCCAGCACAGAUACAUCCAGUCCAGACUGAGUCACAGGCAACAAUCCAAGCAGAAAUCGAAGCCCAAUGUUCUGUUGUCCUUUUUAGACGUGGCAGUUCCCUUUUGUUUUAAAUUGUGUAAUUGGCAAUUCUCUUUAAAACAAUUUGAUUUAUUUUCAAUAUUCAUUUUGGCCAGAACCACUAGAUUUUACUAUGAGAAAUUGUGAAGUCCUCACCAGUCUGAGGCAAGAAAAGAAUUUACUUGGGAGAUAUUCCUCACCCAAAUUCACAAUCACUUGUUUAAAGUCAGUAACUUGGGACUCAAGUUAUCUAUUUUUCAUAAGUCUGUUAGGGUUUUAAUUGCUAACAGUGACACGCUCGCACACCAAAGAAAGUUGACUUGUUGACCACAAAUUAUUUUUAAGCAAAUGGAGAAAUUUACCCUAUCAUCAUAGGAACUAAAUCAAAACGGGUGAACAAUUUGUUCUAAAUCAAUAUCUUUCAUUUGUAGGAAAAAUAUGAGCAUACAUUCAUUGGUUAUCAAUUUUAAUUUCGCAAUUGUUAUAAUUAAGUUUUAAGAUCCUGCUUUGUUAUAGUUUGUGUUUUGGACUCUGACUUUCAGGGUUACGCCAUGAUAAGGGAACAAUUGCUUAGUUUGUAAGUUAUGGUCCACGGACUAUGACCUUGUGAAAUUCCUUAUUCAUUUAACUUCUUGGCCCUUUUUUAGUUCGCGAAAAAAGAUUUGAUGAGAAAUUUUUCUAUGUCUGUUUCAAGGAAUGAAAUUAGAAGAUUUUUUUUCCCAUGUUUGAUAAUGCUAGGAAAGUAGCCAAGAAAUACCACUUUUAUUUCAUUUCCCAUAUUUAGUUUGCAUAGGAAUGUAAAACACACUUUGUCUAAUUUUCCAAUUAUAUCCAUAUAAUUUCACAAGUGUCAAUUUGUGACUAAGCUAUAUUAGUAGGUAAGGAGGAGUUCCUCCUUAUGGACAAGGAGGGAAGCAUUAUCUUUUUCGAUGUGCCAGAUAACCAUUUUCGAUGCCUAGACUUACCAAAUAUGGAAAAAUAAUUGAUUUUCCAUCCCCGAUCCUGAACCUCAUUUCUCGUGAACCAAACACCACUUUAGAAAUAUGAAUUAAAGUUGUCUAUCACGCUGUGGAUGAUCAAGCUAUUAUAUAUGUUAUGGACUUCAUAAUGGGUGGAACUCUAUAAGAUAUUUUCAUCUAUAAAAGGCUGGGUUCAUGCUCUCACAUAAUGCUGCUCAUUAAGUUUAGCUCCAUUAAGAAAUGUAGAGGGUAAAAGAUGCAUAUGUUAGUUGAAUCGGUCUAGUUGAAUCCGUGUACGUGAGUUUCCUCCUCUCCUUCUAAACUUUGGGGAAAGAAAAAAAAAAAGCCAUUCCAUUUUCCUUGAUUCAUAGGUACUAUUAUUGUUCGUUACGAAUACAUAGGUAUAAUAUCUUAGGGAGCUGGUCAGCAGUAUAAACAUUGUACAAAUAACAGUAUUGUUGAAAAAUACAAGACCUUUACUUAGGAAGUGGGCUUUUGAACACUCCCCGCGCAGCCCAUUAGAAAAUCACAAUGAAAAAUUAUAGUGUGUGUCCAUUUCUAGCCGCCAUUCCCCCUUCUUGAGUUCCCUCUUUCCCCUUCUUCUUCUUCUUCUUCUUCUUCUUCGGUUCUCUCACAGUGAAAUAGUCACUCCUACAGUCCCACUGUUCCAAGGAGGCUUCUUCCAAGCAGAUUUAAAAAAAAAGGAAAAAGCUUUUUCCUCUUUCUUCUUUCACAGUAAUUCAUUCGGCCAUGGACUUGGAAUCGAAUUACGAAAUCGCCCCCACGGCCGAGUUCAUUCAGAGCAACAAGUUCACCAGAGUCGCUUUACAGGUACGAGUUCUUCAAUCUUCCUGUUGCGUCUUGUUUUCCUCUCAAUUUUAUUUUUCUUUUGUUUGCUUUUUUUUUUCCCCGGGAAACCAAACAUCGAAUUGAAUUGUAUUGAAUUGAAUGUCGUCUCAGUUCCCUGAUGAACUUCUGAAGGACGCGGUGAGAGUUGUGAGUGCGCUAAGGGCCAAGCUUCGAACACUGAGGGAAUCCAACGCCGAGCAAAACGACGAUGCCCCGGAAGUGGGCUUGUUCGUGAUGGCGGACACGGCCUACGGUAGUUGCUGUGUGGACGAGGUGGGAGCAUCGCACGUGGAUGCUGAUGCUGUUGUUCAUUACGGCCACACGUGCCUCAGCCCGUGAGUGCUCUGUACUGGAAGUAAUUUAUGGUUGAAGUCUGGUUUGAGUUUUAUUGUGUAUGUUGUUGAAGGCUCAUUCUCUUAGUUGGGUUUUGUUGGCAGGACUACGACGCUUCCAGCGUUCUUUGUUUUUGGGAAGACUUCAAUUAGUGUGCCUGAUUGUGUGAAGAAUCUAUCGCAUUAUGCUUUGCCAAAUGGGAGGCGGGUUUUGGUAUGAUCUUUGUUCACUUUUCACUUCUAGACUCAUUAGGAUUUGAUUAAAUGGGCAGUUUUUAAAUGUUUUGGCUGAUACUGAAUCAUCAUUCUGGUUAGAUCAUCAAGUGCUAGAAAUCAUAGCUGUAAUCAAAGAAAGAAGAGAUUAUGGAUAUGGAAGUUAAAACAAUAGAUGAUAUGCAACUUAAAUGAUAUUCUUACUUGAUUUGAAGAUCAAUUAUUCAGAGGAGUAGGAUAUUGAGGAUGAAUUUGUAGCCCAUAAUUUCUUCUUUUCUUUUGUUGAAUUUAAAUUUGGUAAAUUUUUUAUUUUUAUUUUUAUUUCAAAGGAGGGAAAAGAAAAGAACGGAGAUGAAAACAGAUAAAUUCUAGUUGUAUCCCAUUGCAUGAGUAAUGAGUUAAUUUUUGGCUAAAGGUGACAAAAUGGUAUUAAACUUGUAGCCCUUAUACCCAUCAGCUUACCACUUGAUCGAGUCAGUGUUCAGCGUUGUUCAUUCAGCAUGAGAGAAAGAUUGUCUCCUGCAGCAACCUCAUCGUCCUUCUACCCAUCAAUUUUUUCUUUUUCUCUCAAUCUUCUUUCUCCUUUAUACUCUGCAUUAUUCUACCCAUCAUUCAGUUAUUAAAUAUUGAAAUGUAGAUUAUUGUCUAUGCACAUAAUUUUCUAUAAGAGACCAAGUACAUUUUAUUUUUUGGUUAGUUUACCAAAUCUGACUUUCUAUCCAUCUGUAGGUCCUUUUUGGUCUGGAUUAUGCACAUUCAAUACAGAAUAUCAGAGAAAAAUUUGCAGAAGUAUGCGGGGCUGAAUCCAAACCAGAAGUUCAAUAUGCUAAUGUUAUUUGCUCAGUUAUGAAUCCAUCAAAAGGUUGUAAAGUCUCAAAUGAGGUCCAGGGAACAUCUGGCAGCCUCACUGAUAAUAAUAGUUUUGGGACAGUAUCAGCUGAUACGUAUAGCAUUGGAGGCUUGGUCUGGAAAUUGCCUGAGGGACACAAGAUGGACGAUUACUUACUUUUCUGGAUUGGUUCUAAUAACUCUGCCUUUGCAAAUAUUGUUUUGACAUAUAAUGGCUGUGAAAUAGGUACAUAAACUACUUUCCUUUGUUUGUUCUGGUCUUGAGGUUGCAGCUUUCUUUUGUUUUUCUCUUGUGGAUUCCUUAUCCACUUGCUUGUUUCUUUGAAUUUAUAAAGUUUCUAUUGAAAAAAAAGUGUGUAAACCACUACUUUCUUUUGUUAUACAUUUUUUUUGAGUAUGUCUACAUGCAUGUGCGAAUGCAUCUCAUAUUCUGUUUUCUUGUGUCCUCAAACAAUUUUUUUUUUUUUUGAUGAGUUGUGCUGUUUCAGAUGCAUCAUAUAGUCCCGUACAUCAUAUAUCAUACAUGUGGUGGUUCUUGGACUUUCGUUUUUCUUUUUUCUAUAUAUUGGUGGAUUUCAUUUUUGCACAAAUGAAGAGGGAUAUUUUCUCUAUACAUUUAUUACGAUGGAUGCAUCAUAUCUGUAGUGCACACACAUUUGAUAUUUUCCAUUUAGGCAAAUAGCUGUUUGCGUUCCCCUUUCUCCUUUUCUGACUGAGGCAAUCAAAGUGUCUAGGACUCUAGCCACUUAUGAACACUGUCUUCGAAAAGUAAAUUCUGAAUACACACACACACACACACACACACACACACACACACAUAUAUAUAUACAGAUUAUCUUCUAUGCGGACGUCUGGACGUUAUUACCGUGCAGACGCCAUAUAUUUUUUAUUACCCCUCCCUGCUUUCCUCCUUGUUUACAAUGGAGUCCGAGCGGUAAUAACGUGCCGACGUCCGGAUGAGAGAAGAAUUUCAGUUUUCUCAUCUUAUUAUAUGCUGCCAAAUCAAGCCACUACACUGCUAUAUAAAAAUAUCCAGUCGGUACUGUAGAAGUACGCAUCUUCACAUCACUUUUUACAAUGAAACACACCUGCAAACAUUGGAGUCCGCAUGCUAAACAAUCUGGUCGUCCGGAUAAGAGAAAAAUCCUAUAUUAUAUGUAUCCCAAAGUAACCAAUUCCCCACAAGUCCUGUUCGCAGAGUAGGAUGAAGUCUUUUUACUUGGUAAAUGAACUCAGGGCACUUACGGUUCUCCCUUAGUUUGUCCAAUAUUUGGCAGAAGGAACUCAAGGAACAAUAUGAAAAUAUGAUAAUUGGUCCUGUCAUUUUUGUUUUCUUGGUUACGAAUAGAAACUUGAUUUAUUGUGGGAAAGAAGAUAAGGAGCCAGAUUAAGAUUUUCAAGUUUAAAAAGUUAAUUUUCUUAAAGCACCUAGUAUGUGGAAAUUGAUAUGCUAUUGAUUAUUCAAUUUUUCAUACUCAAUCUUGUUUAUAAUUUUUGGUGGUUUUGGUUUUAGUCAGAUAUGAUGCCUCGGAAUGCAGUAUGGUGACCGACUUAUCUCAACAAAGAAAGAUUCUUAAGCGCAGGUAUUAUCUACAAAAUCUUUGUACUGUUCCCUGUUUCCACUCAUCUUUGCUCUUACAAGCACAAUAAUUGUGACAUGAUAGGCCGUGUGUUCCUUCCACCAUGUGUUUUAUUCUUGUUCCCUGUUUCCACUAAUCUUUGCUCUUACAAGCACAAUAAUUGUGACAUGAUAGACCGUGUGUUCCUUCCACCAUGUGUUUUAUUGUUGUCAUGCUCUUCUUUCAUAUGAUUUAUUGUGUGAGCAAUCUCUCAUCCAGAUAUUACCUAAUGGAGAAAGCAAAGGAUGCUAACAUUGUUGGGAUCUUAGUAGGAACCCUUGGUGUAGGUGAGUUCUUGUGUGGGAUCCUCUAGUCUUUAUUUUUUAUUAAUCCACUGUGUUGAAAUUGAGCAAUCAGGUUGAAUAGUUCUUGUAAUGCACAGCUUGCUAUUGGAGAUCAUUGAUUGUUUUUUUUUUUUUUUUUUUUCACUUGAAAUUAGUUUUUCAAUAUUGAACCAUGUGUUGGUUAAUUUCACACUAUACCCAUAGUGUUUCUGUAUGUGCCGGUAUUUUGUGUUUUUUUUUUCCUUUUCCAUCUCAAUUCUAAUCUAGUAAUUCAUUCUGUAAUUAAUCAUGAUAAUCAUGAAAUGUUUUGUUUUGUUUUGUUUUGUUUUUUUGCAUUUCAGUAUGGGUACAUCUUAUUAUGUACCAUUCAAGGACUUUAAAUUACUCUAUCUUAAAUUUCAAUUAUGUUGGGAUCCUUUCAGAAAAAGAAAAAACGAAAUUCAAUUAAGGGCACAUUCUUUUACUGAUGCAUAACCGAGAGCCUAGAAAAUUAAUUAACUUUUUUGGCAAUUAUGAUGCAGCUGGUUACCUGAAUAUGAUUCAUCAGAUGAAAGUGCUGAUUACAGGAGCAGGGAAAAAAGUCUAUACUCUAGUUAUGGGAAGACCAAACCCUGCAAAACUUGCCAACUUUCCUGAGGUCUGAUACAUGCAAGUAGAUGCGUUCAUAUGGAAUUUAGAAUAUUUGAAGUUCUAAUAAGUUAAUUGUAGAUUUUUAUUCGUGGCAGUGUGAUAUUUUCAUUUAUGUCUCUUGUGCCCAAACUGCUCUUCUGGAUAGCAAAGAAUAUUUAGCUCCAGUAAUUACACCUUUCGAAGCCAUGCUAGCUUUCAACAGGUACCACAUUAAAUAAAGUCAUACUUUAUCGUACAUUCAGUGCCAUGAACUUAGGUUCCUUGUAUAUAGAAUGGUUCCAUAUUUGCUCAUUGUCUUAUGAACUACUUGCUACUUGAUAUCCCUCACAUGAGAUGAUCUGUUAUUACAUAUUCCUAAGUUGUGGAUUCAAAUUAGUAUACCUUAAAUGCUCCUAAGAUGUGCAUUGACAAGAUGAAUUAAUUAGCUAGUUAUCAUUCCUCGUUUAUCCCUGACCACUGAAAGUUCAAAUUCUCACCGCAGAGGAUGUCAGUGGACUGGAGAAUAUGUAAUGGAAUUCCGCGAUUUGAUUAAUUCUUCUCCAGUGGAAUCAAGGAACUUUUCUGAAGAAGCACGAUUUUCCUUCUUGCAAGGUGGUUAUGUAGAAGAUUUUGAUCCGCAAGGUAGUUCUCUUAUUUUUCUAAUUUAUACAAUUGUUAUGGCAUCAUUGAGUGAAAAAAUAGAAGACUUUCAACAUAUAAAGUGACUCGUGUGUCUCUGAGAAAUGAAGGAUACUGUAUGCACCUUCUCCCUCACCCCUUCCCUUUUUAAAAGACAUUUGGAUGAUUAGCUUAAUUUAUUUUUCUUACCUUAGAUUGAUUGUUAGAGCAAAGAAAUCUAUGCUUUAAGUCCAUAUUUGUCUUAAGCUUCUAUCCUCAUUAGAAGUAUGGAUCAAAUAUUGCACUAUCCACUGGCUUUUUCGUUGUGGUCUCGGUCAAUUAAGGACAGGUUUAUGCUGGUCCAUCACAGUGCCAUAUAAUGUGCUAUUAUCUGAGAAGUUGAACUUUUUUGGUGGAAAUAAAAGGGUUUGUAGUUGAGCUGAGUAGUGCUAUGAUGGAAAUUUUCUGGGUUCUAUCGGUUGAAAAGAAUAGUAGCAUAUUUGGGGGCGAGGAGGUGAAUGUUUAUGGGAUAGGAUGCGUUUCUGGGCUUCUUUGUGGGCAUCUGUAGAUUCGGAGUUUAAGGAGCUAUAUUUUCCUGCUAUCUAGUCUGAUUGGAAAGCGUCUGUUUUGCAGUCCUAUGAAAUUUCUGUUUUGUCUUUAUGUUUUCCUUUAGGAUUGAGGUCAUGAUGCAGAGUUUAUGUGUAGUUUUCUUUCAGAAAUGGACUCCUUGUUCACUUAUGUUGUACUGUUAUAAUUUUUUUUAAUAAGAGCUAUGUUUCUUAUAAAAAAAUAAAAAAGUGAAGGGCAAAACAAAGUUUAAUUGGGAUUUAUUGUUCGAGACCCACAUGUAAAUAAUUACAUUGGAGAACUGUUUAUCAUUUAGAUAUUGUGAGACUAAAACUACGUUUUACCAAAAAGAUUGUUAUAAGGGUAGACAUUUCAAACUUGGAAGUUCUGAAAUUGUUGUAUAACCAGGGAAUGGUACUGAGGAAGAUAAGGAAGGAGCUCUUGCUUUAGCAAAUGCGACAGAGAAGGUUCUGCAAUUGCGUGAUAACCCGAAUUCUAUAGUGAAAGGAACAGCUAAAUCUGGUGCAGAGUUUUUAGCCACUCGAUCCUAUCAAGGUCUAGAUAUACAUUACGACGGUUCCUUGCCAGAACCAUAUUUUAUCGGGAGAAGUGGGAGGGCAGCAGGGUAUGAAGAUGAGAAGAACGGGCAUGAGAAAUCAUGAUCAAAUUAGAAAAACGUGGAAAGAGUGGUUAUGAUGAAGACGUGCUUGAGGAUGUGCCCUUAAGGAGAAGUAGAUGUGUGGAAGGCAGCAGGUCUAGGCAGUCAGCCGAGAGGGGACAGGUAAAUGAAAGAGCAUACUCUUGAUGUCUGCCUUGCAGCAUGGAGCGCAGCUAUCUGCCAAUGAUGAGAUUCUGUAAGGGGAGAAACAAAAGGGGAUUCUAUUAGAGGCAUGCCUUUUUGUCUCAUCUAUUUUUGUAGACAUUUUUGGGUUUUUUGUUCUGUUUUCUAUUGUGGUACGUAAUUUAAUGAAAUAGUGACAUGUAAUGAGCAACCAAGGUCCUGUUUGAUGGCUUUGUUUCAUAUUUUUUGGGUACUUUUCAUGAAAGAUAUAGAAGAAAAAUGAGAAGAUAGCGAGAAGAGAUACAAUUUCAUGUGUGGGAAGAAAAAACUGUAUUCAGGUAGACUCAUAAAAUAAAAACUAAGAACAGUAAUAAAUAGAUUACUUUUUCUGUUUGGUUCAUGAGAAAGAAGGUUUGGGACUGGGAAAUUAAUUGCUUUGCACAAAGAAAGAUAGGGGAAAGUGAAGCCUUUCUCUUCCCUUGGGUUUUGUUUUUCUCCUCAUGAGAAAGUUUGGGAAAAUGAGUUAAUAUUAAAUACAUAUUUUUAUGACCAUAUUGUCUCUACUAACAAUUUAAAAUUACAAUAUAACAUGAUUGCAUUAUUUUUUUCAUUUGAUUUCAUAUGGGUAUAAUUGAAAAAUUAAACAAACUUUGUUUUAUAUUCCUACAAAUAUGUGAGAAAAUAAAAUGGUAUUUCUUGAUUACUUUAUCAGGAUUACCAAAUAUGAGAGAUGAAUCUCUAUUUCCAUCUUUUGAAAAAUAACGUGGAAAAUAAUUUCUCAUUAAAUUUGUUAAAUGAACCAAAUGAGAGGGUAGGUUUUAGAUUUACGACUUUUCUCAUUUCUUCCUUCCAUUUCUUAUCUCUCAUCUGCUUUGUCUUCUAUCCUCAAAAGUCCAGUCAAUGGAUGGGCCCCUGAGUGGUUUGUAUUUGUACGAUGGACGACUUUAAUAAAAAUCAAUAAAAGUUUGAAUUGAACACACAUUCAUUCCUGGACGGCAUGACUUUAUCUUUUAUUUAUUUAAAGAACUUGGGACAGCUUAUGUAGGUAAAGUAAUAAUAGCUUGAUUAAUUAUCACCGAAACCAAUUUGCACGUCCCACAUGCAUGUCGAGGUCAACUCAAGUCAUACGCGAUUGCCGCUAAAUGCAAGUCGGAAAAUGAAUUUCUAGGGAAGUUAUUAUGUGCAUUAAAAACUCUAUGUUUCUUUAUAAAUAUCCAACAACAAAUCUUAACCUUCAUUCUCAUUCUUCACUAAGCGCUUCACCAAAAUGGCUUUCUACAAUACAAUAAAACACCUUGUAAGCCUCAUUGCCCUAUUCUAUGUAGCUGAAGCAGUGCUAAAAAAUUUGACAGCACAAAGUUGUGGCUGUGCCCCAGAGAUAUGUUGUAGCCAGUAUGGCGACUGCGGCAGCGGAGAUGGUUACUGGGGCCAGGGUUAUAAAGAAGGCCCUUGUACUAGCAGCGGUGGCAGCACAACUACCACACCAAGGAGCAAUGGUAGUGGUGGUUCGUCGGUGGCUGAUAUUGUAACCCCAGAAUUCUUCAACAGGAUCAUUAACCAAGUGUUUAGGCCUAGUUUUUACGAAUCCAAAAUUAAAGCUAAUUGGUCCAAGUACAUGAUUUGGGCUUUAAUUGUACAAGUAUAAGUCAAAUACUUAUAAUUUUUUUUAUUUAAUAAGAGCUAUGUUUCUUAUAAAAAGAAAAAGUGAAGGGUAAAACAAAGUUUAAUUGGGAUUUAUUGUUCGAGACACACAUGUAAAUAAUUACAUUGGUGAACUGUUUAGGUUUAUUCUAAUGCUUUUUCUCUUCUUCAUUUGCACGUAUUGUUUAAAUUUGAAUUCAUUUGGAUAUUGUGAGACUAAAGCUACUUCGUUUUGCCAAAAAGAUUGUUAUAAUGGUAGACAUUUCAAACUUGGAAGUUCUGAAAUUGUUGCAAAACCAGGGAAUGGUACUGAGGAAGAUAAGGAAGGAGCUCUUGCUUUAGCAAAUGCAACAGAGAUGGCUCUGCAAUUUCAUGACAACCCUAAUUCUACAGUGAAAGGAACAGCUAAAUCUAUUGCAGUAUUUUUAGCCACUCGAUCCUAUCAAUGUCUAGAUAUACAUUAUGAAGGUUCCUUGCCAGAACCAUAUUUUAUAGGGAGAAGUAGGAGGGCAGCAGGGUAUGAAGAUGAGAAGAACGGGCAUGAGAAAUCAUGAUCAAAUUAGAAAAACGUGGAAAGAGUUGUUAAAAUGAAGACGUGUUGGAGGAUGUGCCAUUGAGAAGAAGUAGAUGCGUGGAAGGCAACAGGUCUAGGCGACCGCUCGUGAGGGGACAAGUAAACGAAAGAGCAUACUCUUGAUGUCUCCCUUGCAGCAUGGAGUGCAUCUAUAUGAAACCGAGAAUAUGUAAGAGCAUUUCCAGCAGGGCUGGAAAACUCGGGCUGGGGGGGGUUGGGGUUUGGGGCAAAAAACGAAGUCCAGCAACAAAAGUCCAGCCCGGGCGAGAGUGGGGGCCACCAAAACGGGCAGGCCCGAAGGCGAAAUCGGCCCGAGCUCGGGCCCGAAGUCUGGGACAAAAUAGCUGACGCCAGCAUGGCGUCAGCCCUGAAAUUUUGAAUUUUUUUUUACCGUUGGCGCGUGCAUUGCACGCGCCACGCGCCAACGUUAAAAAAAAUUUCAAAUCAGCGCUACAGUGCCGCCAACGGCUCUUUGACACGUGGCGGCCUCUGGUCGCUCCGAUUGGAAUUUUUUCUUCAAUCCAACGGCAGCCAAUUUUUCUGCCAAAAAAAAUUGAAAAAAAAUCGAAUUUUUUUUAAAAAAAUCGAAUUUUUUUUAAAAAAAUACACAAAAAUUACAGAAUUUUUUGUGUAUAAAUACCAACCAAUACUCUUCACUUUUAACACCAACUCCUCAUAUAUUUUCUUCUCCUUCUACUAUUGUUCACUUUCUCCUCAAAUUUUAUUCACUUUCUAUUUAAUAUUUUUUCACUUUGAAGUUGUAAUUUUUUUCUAGCAUAUUAUGGGUUCUUCUAAUGAAAAUGGAGGGGCAUGGAGCAUGAUGGAAGAUGUUAGCUUGUGUGAGGCUUGGGUCCAAGUUAGUCAUUGUCCCGUAACGGGCAAUGAGAUUAAAUUUUCUCAUAUGUGGAAAAAAAUUCAUCAAGCAUUUUGUGAAAGGGCAAUUGGUUCUACACGUACAGAAAUGACAUUAUCUCGUAGGUGGAAAGUUCUUAAUAAAGAGUUGGGGAAAUGGAGAAAUGCCUUAGCAAAAGCGAUUGACAACCAUCGAAGCGGAGAAAAUCUUAGCAGUGAGGUAAAUUAUUUGUCAUUUUUCUUCUAUUAAUUUCUAUGUCAUAUUAAUUUUUAUUUAAAUGUUUCUUGCAAUUUAUAUAUUUUGUUAAUAUGUCUCUAGUUUUUUUUUAAUACAUGUUGUAUUUUUUUAUUAUUUCUUUAAUUUCCAUUAGUUUUUUUUUACAUGUUGCAUUGCCAAUAUUUUAAAAAUUCUCUUGCAUUUCCAUUUCAUUUUUUUUAUAGAUUAUACAAGCACAAAUGUGGUUUGGUGCUACUGGCCAAGGGAAAAAAAGUUUCAACCAUACCCAUUGUUGGGAGGUGGUGAAGACUUGUAAGAGAUUCCAAAUUAUUCCAACCGGUCCGACGGUAGUCUUGAACGAGACUCCACUUCGUGAGACGCCGGCAUCGGAUUCACCUAUGGAUUCCCCGAUGAAUCUAGACUCACCCAUUGAAAAUGAACCAAGGCCUAUUGGGAGGAAGGCGGCGAAGGCGAAGAGAGGGAGUAAUUCUAGCAAGAAUGCAUCUCAAUUUUUGGAGGAACUUUCAAAGCACCAAGCCAUGAGAAUUGAAAUGGACUUGAAACAACAAGAGCACGAUAUGGCUAUUCAAGUAGAAUAUGCAAAAGAAAGGGAGUAUGUACGCAAAGAAAGGGAGUAUGUACGCGAACAAAACAUUGAAAAACAAGAUCGGGAAACCAUGGCCAUGGAUACAAGCCAUAUGUCCCCUGAAACAAAACAAUAUUGGAAGCUAGAACGAAGGGAUGUUAUGAGACGAAGACUUUUUCGUGACGAUGGACCUAGCAACACGGAUUGGUUAAAUGAUGGAAAACAUUAAAAUAGUUUGUUUACCUUUCAUGUCUUAGUUUACUUGCCUUUGAUUUCAUUGUAUUUUUUGUUUUCUUUAAUUCGUGUACCUUUGAUUUCAUUGUAUUUUUUGUUUUCUUUAAUUCAUGUACCUUUCAUUUCAUUGUAUUUUUUGUUUUGUUUAAUUCAUGUAUUUUAUUUUAUUAUUAGUUGUAUUGCUUUUCUUUUAGUCAAUAAAGAAAAUAUUCAACAAAAAUCCUUUUUAUUCAAAACAUUCCAUACAUAAAAAACAAACCACAACCAAAGCAUAAAAAAUAAACAACCCACAACCAAAGCAUAAAACAUAAACAACCCACAACCAAACCAUAAAAAAUAAACAACCCACAACCAAAGCAUAAAACAUAAACAACCCACUCACAACAAAAAAUAAACAACAUACAACAUAAACAUAAUAAUGUUGUAAAUAAUAUUGGUGAAGCCCACAUAAAGAAGAAAUGAUGGUGUUAGAAGUGGGAUGAUUAGUCAAAAGAUGAAAUUAUAAUGUUGGGGAGAAAUCAUUAUGUCUCCAUUAGAAGCCUUUUACUUUGCCUAUAAAUAGGCUUGCUCAUUCACUUGUAAUACACACCAAAGAGAAGAGAAGAAAGAGUGAGGAAAGAAAGAACGGAAGAGAGAAAGAGAAAGAGUGGGAGUUAGAGAGAAGAGAAAGAGUGGAGUCUAUCUGAGGAGAAAUUAUGUCAGUGUAAACACUACAAAGAGAAAUAUAAUCCCACUCCCAAUAUUGCAGUGGUACUUCUCAUCAACUGAUUAUUCUAGUUUUAUAACAAAUAAAAUAAAAACAACUUCUUCACUUCACUUUAUUCACCUUCAUUUCCUUCAUUGCCUUUCACCACCCAUAAAUGCUCCAUCAAGUCAACUUGACGGUGUUCAUGAAUAUACGACUAUUGCAUCUCCGUGUAGCGAUCAAUCAUACGAGGCAUGAAACUACCGUCUCUAACCAACGGUUCAUGCUGCACUGCUUCUCCAUUUGGCCCCACUGGUUUUUCAUAAAUUCGUGUUAGGGCCGUGUCCAUGGGAUUUGGUUCAUACACGUCAUCAGCAUCGUAACCAUAUUCAUCUUCCACAAUCAUGUUAUGGAGGAUGAUACAAGUCAUCAUUAUACUCCUAAGCACCUCCUCGUCAAAUAGACGUGCCGCGCCCCUGAUAAUAGCCCACCGAGCUUGAAGGAUACCGAAGCACCUCUCAACAUCUUUUCUGUACCCCUCUUGAUAGCGAGCAAAAAAAUUUUCCUUAUGGGAUCGGGGAUGUGGAAUUGUUUUCACAAAUGUUGUCCACCUCGGGUAUAUGCCAUCAGCUAGAUAAUACCCGGUCUGGUAGAUGGUAUUGUUAAUUUCAUAUGUGAUAUUUUGGGCUUCACCUCUCAAAACAUCAUUGAACACCGGGGAUUGACCUAGGACAUUCAAAUCGUUUUGAGAUCCGGCAACUCCGAAGAAGGCGUGCCAAACUCAUGUAUCAAAACCAGCAACUGCUUCGAGGAUGAUACUUUUCUGCCCUUUUCUAUUUCCGUAGUCCCCUUGCCAAGCAGUUGGACAAUUUUUCCACUGCCAGUGCAUGCAGUCAAUGCUACCAAUCAUGCCAGGGAAUCCUCGAGACUCAGCUUUUUGGAGAAGCCUUUGCAGGUCCCUAGGCGUAGGUCUGCGGAGGUAGUCUCUGGUGUACAGAGUUUCCACUGCAUCACAAAAUCGCACCAAGCUCUCCAAAAUAGUGGACUUCCCCAUCCGAGCAAUCUCAUCCACCUGAUCAGCAGAUGACCCAUACGCCAACAUUCGUAUCACAGCUGUGAACUUCUGCUCUGGAAGAAGUCCCAAAUUUCCAGCACAAUUUCUCUUUUGAACAAAAUAUUCAUCAUAAUUGCAAAUAUCAUGCAUGAUUUUAUUGAACAAAUGGGGUUGCAUUCUAUAUCUCCCUCGAAAAUGAACAUCAAAGUACAGAGAUUGUGGGAUAAAAUAAUCUUCCAUAAGAUUCUUACCCCGGGAAUGUCUAUGUCCGUCCACAUUUGGGCGACGGCCUUCUCGUGAACCACGGCGAGCCUGCUUUUCUUCCUCCAGCAAAGCAACUGCUAUGCCAAGUUGCUCAUCUAGUUCUCUCUGCGCCCUUUUGCUUGCAGCUCGUCUACGCAUUCUUUCUCUAGUUUCUCGCUCUUGCCUCUCCAAAACCUCUUCCAUGUCUGCCAUUGAGAAUGGAGAAUGAAAUCUAAAAUUUGAGAAAUGGAAAUGUAGAGAAGAACUGGUGUGGGAGGUAUGAGCUGAACCUCUGAUUUUAUAGAAAAAUGUACACGGAUAGAUAUGACAUGCGUCGCAAUCUUAGAGGGUGAAAAUCUUAUCUAAAAUUUGAAAUUCAAAUGAAAUUUCAAAUUUCAAAUUUAUCUGAAAUUUGAAUUCCGAAAUGUAUCUGAAAUUUGACAUUUUGAAUUUAUCUGAAAUUUGAAUUUUGAAAUGUACCUGAAAUUUGAAAUUUAUCUGAAAUUUAUCUGAAAUUUGAAACCGAAAAUCUUAUCCGAUAUGAAUAGUAUUGACACGUAGGAACCCAAAAAUCUUAUCCGAAAAUAUUAUCCAAAUUAAUUGUUUAAGUAAACAAAAUUGUGAAAAAAACAAAAAAAUGAAUAGUAAUUGCCAUGGCAAGCCCCAACUGCUGGAAACACAUUUUGCUGGAGGGGGCUAGGGCAGCCACUAUUCACGUGAAUAGUGCCUGCCCUAGGGCUAAUCUUGCCAUGGCAAGAGUCAACUGGUGGAAGUGCUCUAAGGGGAGAAACAAAAGGGGAGUCUAUUAGAGCAUUUCCAGCAGCUAAGGCUAGACUCGGGCUGGGAGGGGGGGUUGUUUGGGCAAAAAAGUAGUUUCCAGCAAUAAAAGCAAGUCCGAGCAGAUGGUGGGACCUAGCAGACUGGGCUGGCCCGAGGGCAAGGCUGAUGUCACGUCAACGUCAGCCCUGUGUCCAAAUUUUUUUAAAUCGUCCAUGUAGCGCGCGCUAGGCUCUCCGAUCAUAAUGAAAAAAAAUGGAUAAAAAUGUAAAAAAAUUACUGAUUUUUUUUUCUCUAUACCUUAUUUCCAUUUUCAACAUUUAAGUAAAUGUCUUUGUCCUUUUACUUUCAUUUAUUUUUAUAUUACUCUAUUUACUUAAGUUUACAAUGGAAAUAAGGAAGUACCCCCCCCCCCCCCCCCUCAAUUUGGAUUCAAAUAAAAAUACCAGAAAAUCAAAUUCCCACCAAAUCAAAAUAUGAAAAAUCGAUUUUAGUGCAAAAUACGAUUUUGGCUAAAAAUGAUGGCUCAUUAAGUCAAUAUAUACUUCAUAUUAAAAUUUCAUAAAAUCAAGUUUUCUUAUUUGAUGUGUAAGGAAUAAAAGCCGCCAAAAAUUAUCUUGAGAAAACAAUUAUUCCGAAAAAUCAUUUUUCAUACUUAGUCAAUAUUGCACCUCCGCUACAAAAAUUCUGGGUCCACCAGUGUCUAUAAAUACCAACCAAUACUCUUCACUUUUAACACCAAAUCCUCAUACUUUUUUUUUUCCUAUAAAUACCAACCAAUACAACUAAUAAAAUAAAAUACAACUAAUAAAAUGAAAUCAUAUCCGAAAAUAUUAUCCAAUAUGAAUAGUAUUAACAUGUAAGAACCCAAAAAUAUUAUCCGAAUUAAUUACUUAAGUAAAAAAAGUUGUAAAAAAAUAAAAAAAUGAAUAGUAUUUGCCAUGGCAAAGAGCAACUGCUGGAAACACAUUUUGCUGGGGGGGCUAGGGCAGCCACUAUUCACGUGAAUAGUAGCUGCCCUAGGGCUCCCCUUGCCAUGGCAAGGGGCAAACUGCUGGAAAUGCUCUUAGAGCAACUCCACCCAUUUGCCGUUAGCCAUGGCAAGGGUGGAGCUAGGGCAAGCACUAUUCACAUGAAUAGUGCUUGCCCUUGCAAAUAGUAAAUUGUGUCUCCACCCGUUGCCCUUAGCCAUGGCAAUUACUAUUCAUUUUUUUGUUUUUUCCUCCUAUUUUUUAAUGAAAAUAAUUAAUUUGGGUAAUAUUUUCAGAUAAGAUUUUCGGAUUCCUACGUGUCAAGACUAUUCAUAAUCAGAUAAAAUUUUCGGAUAAGAUAUUUGGAUUCAAAUUUCGGAUUAAUUUCAAAGUUCAAAUUUCAGAUAAAUUUUUGGGUUCAAAUUUCGAAUGAAUUUCAAAAUUCAAAUUUCAGAUAAAUUUGGGUUCAAAUUUCAGAUAAAUUUGGGUUCAAAUUUCGGAUGAAUUUCAAAAUUUGAAUUUCAUACAAAUUAGGGUUCAAAUUUCGGAUGAAUUUCAAAUUUCAGAUAAGAUUUUCAUCCAAUAAAAUCAAGCCACGUGGCAUGUCUAUCUUGCCAAAUUUUUCUAUAAAAUCAAAGUCUCAGCUCAUACCUCUCACACUACAUCUUUCUAUAUUUUCAUUUCUGAGAGUUUAUAAUUCAUACUUCAUUCAUUCUGAAUGGAAGAAUUUAGGAGAUGCUUGGAGAGACAAGAGAGAGAAAGAAGAGAGAGAAACCGUAGAGCAGAUGAAGUCAAUGAGUUGCAGAGACAAGUCGAUGAGCAAGUUCUCAUAGCAGUGGCUUUGGAAGAAGAAGAGAACCAAGGUCGCCGCCAUAGUUCACAAGCCGGCCGCCGCCGGAAUGUGGAAACACAUAGGCAUUCUAGGGGUAAGAAUCUUUUGGAAGAUUAUUUUAUCCCAACUUCUUUGUACUCUGAUGUUGAUUUUCGAAGGCGAUUUAGAAUGCAACCUCAUUUGUUCAAUAAAGUCAUGCAUGAUAUUUGCAAUUAUGAUGCAUACUUUGUUCAAAAGUGUGAUGCUGCUGGGGUUUUGGGGCUUCUUCUGGAGCAAAAGCUUACAGCUGUUAUACGAAUGUUGGCGUAUGGAGCAUCUGCUGAUCAGGUGGAUGAGAUUGCCCGGAUGGGGAAGUCCACUACGUUGGAGGCUUUGGUAAGAUUAUUGUGCCUUGUUUGUAGUUUUUUUUAUUUUUAUUUUGUUUUGUUUGAAGUAUGGAAUAUGUUGAAUAAAAAGGUAAUUUAUUGAAUACUUUGUUUAUUAAAUAACGAAAUCUAAUACAAGUCAUUACGAAUUACUACUACUAAAAUAAAAUACAUGAAUUACAACAACUUUAAAAGAAAACAUGAAAAAUACAAAUACUUAAAAGGUAGGCUAACAAAUUUAAUGGUUUCCAUCAUUUAACCAAUCCGUGUUGCUAGGCCCAUCAUCCCGGAAAAGUUUUCUUCUCAUAACAUCCCUUCUCAUAAAAUACAUGAAUUACAACAACUUUAAAAGAAAACAUGAAAAAUACAAAUACUUAAAAGGUAGGCUAACAAAUUUAAUGGUUUCCAUCAUUUAACCAAUCCGUGUUGCUAGGCCCAUCAUCCCGGAAAAAUUUUCUUCUCAUAACAUCCCUUCGUUCUAGUUUCCAAAAUUGUUUUGUUUCAGGGGACAUAUGACUUGUAUCCAUGGCCAUGGUUUCCCGAUCCGUGUUGUCUAUAUCUUUUUUGCGCAAAUACUCCCUUUCUCGUGCAUACUCAGCUUGAAGGGUCAACUCGUUAUCUUGGCGUUUUUGCUCCAUUUCAAUUCUUAGGCCAUUUUGCCUUGCAAUUUCCUCCAAAAACUUUGAAUUAUAAUUGCUUGAAUUACCCACUUUCUUUGCCUUCGCGGCCUUUCGGCCAAUGGGCCUCGGCUCCUUUUCCAUGGGUGAGUCUUGACUCAUAGGAGAAUCAAGAGGUGAAUCCGGUGCCAUUGAAUCACGGAGUGGCGUCUCGUUUAAUACAACAUCGGGACCCGUUGGAAUAAUUAUGAACCGUUUGCAAUAUUUGACCACCUCCCAACAUUCAUGAUGGGUGAAAUUUUUUUUGCCACCCCCGGUUGCACCGAACCACAUUUGUGCUUGUAUAAUCUAUUUAACAAAAAAAUAAAAAUGCAAUAAAUAUUUAAAAUAUAUUGGAUAUGCAAGUAACAAAAAAAUAUAAUAAUGAAAAUGCAAUUAACCUUACAAAUAAAUUAGAAGUGCAAGAAAAUUAAGAAACAAGUGGAAAUGCAAGAAAUAUUAACAACAUAUUGAAAAUGCAAGACAUAUGAACAAAAUAUUUAAAUUGCAAUAAAUAUUAACAAAAUAUUGAUAAUGCAAGAAAUAUGAACAAAAUAUUUAAAAUGCAAGAAAUAUUAACAAAAUAUUGAAAAUGCAAGCAAUAUUAACAAAUUGUAUAUAUUAGGAGAUUAAACUUAAUAAAAUAAAAAUUAUAAAAUACUUACCUCGUUAGUGCGAUUUUGCCCGCUUCUAUAGUUGUCCAUCGCUUUUGCUAGGACAUUUCUCCAUUUUCCCAACUCUUUAUUCAGGAUUUUCCACCUACUGGAUAACGCCAUCUCCGUACGAGUAGACCCCGGAAUUUUUUCACAAAAUUCGACAUGAAUUUUUUUCCACAUAUGAAAAAAUUUCAUCUCAUUGCCGGACACGGGACAAUGACAAAUUUGGAGCCAAGCCUCACACAAUGAAACAUCUUCCAUGGUGCUCCAAGCCCCUCCGAUUUCGAUAGAAGAAGCCAUAAAAAUAUGAAAUCAAAAUACUAGAUGAAAAAGAGGAAAAUGUUGAGUAUAAAGAGUGAAUAAUGGUAGAAGUAGAAGAAAAUGUAUGAGUAUUGGUGUUGAAAGUGAAGGGUAUUGAUAGGUAUUUAUAGAAAAAAAAAAUCAGAAUUUUUUAGAAUUUUUAAAAAAAAUUUACGAUUUUUUUUCAUAUUUUUAUUGCCCGAAAAAGCCUUAGCCGUUGGAUUAAUUUGGAAAAGCAGAUCGGAAGGCUGGGGAGGCGACACGUGGCAGCGUACCGUUGGAGCUGGCGUCGCGCUGACGUCAGCGUGACGCGAGUUGGACCUGGGGCUGGUCUCGCCUUCGGGCUGGCCCGAGUUGGUGGGUCCCACACCACCCCCGGGCCUGGGCUGAACGCUGGAGCAACUUUUUUUUUUUUCCUGCCUUCGCCUCGGGCUAGGCUCCCUCGGUGGAGCAGCUCUUAUAGUGGCAUGCCCCCUUUUGCCUCAUCUAUUUUUGUAGACAUUUUUGGUUUUUUGGUUUGUUCUGUUUUCUAUUGUGGUAUGAAAUUUAAUGAAAUAAUUAUUGUGUGGAAACACCCCAAGACUUUGUCGUUGAUGGACUAUGCAACAUGUACGCAUAAAACCACAAGAAAAAUAACACACACACACCACGAAGAGAGAUAAAGCAAACACACAAGAACACGAAGAUAAGGUUCGGCAACGUUACUAUGUCCUGUCUGAUGAAAGCCCUGAGAAAUUUCACUAGAACAAUAGGAACAACUUUUGUUUACAUGGAAAACCACCUUAACUCUCUACUCUAUCAUACCCUAGGCCUUAAUUUCUCUCACACCUUCGCUCAAACCCUUUGAUGCCCUUGUAACCUUCCCAAGAAUUCUGUUGUGAAUGGUUUCUUCUAGUUAACCUAGCUCCAAAAGUCCUGUUUAUAGUGUAUAGGACUUGGGUUACAAGUUUACUAAGAAUAGAAAACCAAAACCCUACUAGAUUAGGCUAAGAAACCCAAAACAAAUAGGCUAACAUGUCAAAAUGCGCCAAAACUUCAAAACAAGCAUGAGACAAGUCAUUAAAUUUUAAGCUAAUAAAUUUAGCUAGACUACCCGUAAAAACAUUUCUGGUUCCGCCCUUGAACUAAGGUCUUGUUUGAUGGCUUAGUUUCUUAGUUUUUGGUUACUUUUCAUCAAAGAUAGUGAGAGGGGAGACAGUAAAUCUGAAUUGUGAAGCAUAAGAUACAUAAGCCAGACUUUUUCCAUUCACAUCAAGAUAAAAGUUUUCUCUGUCUGCAGAUGACUGCACUUUAAACUUCCUUGCCUAACUUCUAUGAUUUUUACUUCCCUUUUAUAUUUAACUUGCAUUUUAGGUAUUAAUAUGGAGUUGUAAUUACAAUUAUGGCAGUUAAUGAAAUGCUUGGAAUACAUUAUAAAUAAAAUAUGAAGUCUAAUGGCAACGAUGUAAAAACAUAGGAAUAUUAUGACAUCUUAUAUCUUACUGGUAAUUUAAGUUUAAAAUUGAGUUUUCCACAUAGAUUUAUAAAAUGAUGGGUAUAUGUCUAGGAAAUAAAAAUGGUAGGGACCUAUAUUGGAAAAACCCUAAAUUUUAUUAAGAAACCACAAAAGGGCACAACAAUACAACAAAAAGUAAAAUCCAACCAAGCUCAGCAACAAGGAUAUACUUUUUUAGUGGAAAAUGUUGGGAACACUGACUUAUAUCAUGAUUUGAUUUUUCUUUGGCCUACAAAUCAAUUCUUUUAUGUGGAAAAUUCUUUUGACUUUGUCACUCAAAUUGUACAAAUAUGGUUGUGUGGCUUUUAAAAGGCAACGUGACGUGUGGGAUGGGCUGCCAAUUUUGAAACUUAUUAGCUUCUUUGAGAAGCUGGUGCAACAUUUAUGCGCGUGAACACUUGGCGGAUUGAUCCAUCAGAGAAGACAAAAUAAUGGUGUCAUUUGGACAGACUUGGGCAAUUGAUCCGGCAACAAGUCUUUCAUGGUUCCUUUAGCCUCGUUUGUUACGGAAGAUUGUCUUGGCAUGAACUAUUCUAAGAAAUUGUCUUGGCCUGAAUUGGCUUAAGUUGAAUAACACUUAACCUAUGUUUGGUGAUGCUUGGAUUGGGACUAAAUUUAAAUUGAUUAAAAUAUCAAUAAAUAGGACGAUAUAUUUCAACUUCUGUUAUACUGUACAAACGUGGGUUAAAAAUAUUCCAAUUUUUUUUUUUUUGCUAGUAAAUAGACCAGACCCGACCCGUUAAUUCUAGGCCAAAGUUCCCAAAGUUUUAUUUAAUAAGGUUUAUUUUUUAGGUUUAUAUAGGUUUUAAAUUUAAGGGCAUUUGUGUCUAUUUAAGUGAAUUUUUUACUAUAUUUGAAAUAUUUUAUAAAAACUGAUAUUUUUGAAAUUAAGGAUCAAGUUUUGAUAAAUUCUCUAAUAAAUACAUUAGUUUUAAGUUUUAGAUUUAUUACAUUUUUUUAUUUCUUGCUUGCAUUUAUUAACUGUCAUUUCUUUAUCUCUUUUUCGAAGCCUCAAAAGUCCAGUCAAUGGAUGGGGCCGUCUGAGUUGUUUUGUACGGUGGAAAACGUAUAAACUGGAUUUCGUGUCCUGGACUUCAAUAAUUUUUUCAUAUCUUUUAUUUAUUUAAACAACUUGGACUUCGUAGAAAUGGGGCUUUUUCUUUGGGUCAAGAAGUCAGUCAAUGGAAUACGUGUUCUCUCCGCCAUCGAUGGGGCAGCCUCUGUUUACCUCUCCUACUUUUGGGUGAAGAAGUCAGUCAAGUCUUUAUUUAUAAGAUUUUUGAAGUUGUUAAGAUAUCUACUGUGGCCAACAAAAUUCACGAACUUGCUUUCAGAAAAUAUUCAGAUAACAAUUAUUUAAUUGAGUAGACAAAUAAAUUCAAAUUCAAGUGAUGAUUUUCGCAGAGAUCAUCGCUGAAGAAUAUCAAAAAAAUAUACAAUUUGAAUCAUAAAAAAAUAAUAUUAUAUAAGUCCUACAACAGUGUUCCACAAACAAAAAAAUCCUCAAAUGAAGCUUUUAUGAGUAGGUACGAGCUUUAUUAAUUAUCCCUGACAAGAUUGUAGACCACCAUGGAAAGUCUCCUGCGGUAGUAGAUGUAAUUUGGGAAUCCAAAGAAACUAAUUUGCACGCCAGACAUGCAAGUCAAUGUCAACUCAAGUCAUACACGAUUUCUGAUAAAUUCAUGUCGGAAAAUGAAUUUCUAGGGAAGUUAUGAGCAUUUCAGACUCUAUGUUUCUCUAUAAAUAUCCAACAACAAAUCUUAACCUUCAUUCUCAUUCUUCACUAGCCCUUCACCAAAAUGGCUUUCUACAAUACAACAAAACACCUUCUAAGCCUCACUGCCCUAGUCUUUGUGGCUGGAGCACUGCUAAAAAAUGUGACAGCACAAAAUUGUGGCUGUGCCCCAGAUCUAUGUUGUAGCCAGUAUGGCUACUGCGGCAGCAGCGAAGACUAUUGCGGCCCGGGUUGUCAACAAGGCCCUUGUACUGGCGGUGGCGGCGGCACACCUACCACACCAAGCCCCAGUGGUGGUGGUGGUUCGUCGGUGGCUGAUAUUGUAACCCAAGAAUUCUUCAAUGGAAUCAUUAACCAGGCUCCUUCAGACUGUGUUGGGAAGAACUUCUACACUCGAGAUGGUUUUAUUAACGCUGUGAACUCAUAUUCUGACUUAGGUAGACGUGGUUCGGUUGACGAGUCUAAACGGGAAAUCGCAGCUUUCUUUGCUCAUGCGACUCAUGAGACUGGCUGUAAGAUAUUCCUUUCCUCCCCUCUCAUACAUACAAUGUGACAUGAACAAAUUAUAACUCCCCUCUCUCAUUAAAAACGUGCAUAUGUUACAUGUUGUGAAAUUAUAUGUUUCACAACGUGCAAUAAGAGCACGUUGUAUUAUACAACUUUUAGCAACAUGCAUUUAGUGUGCGUCGUCGAAAUGCGUUUAGUGCAUAUCAUGUCUGAAAGUUUCUAUAGUUGCUAAAUAUUUUCCAUGUAUUAAGCUCCACAAUUUCCGAAUGAAUUUCCUCAUUAUGAUAUGCACAGAUAUUUAUGUCAAAUAGUUGAUAACCUAUAAAAAUUCAAAACCCCUAUUUCUCAUAUAAAAAUUUGAUGGGUCAUAUAUAUUGUCAACAUAAAUAGAACAAACAAAAGAAAACACAGAUGAACCUAACAAAAUAACUUUUUCUCUUUCGUUCAGAUUUUUGCUUCAUAGAAGAGAGAGAGGAGUAUCGUCAAACCUACUGCGAGCCAAGCACAGACUAUCCAUGCAACCCCGACAAACAAUACUAUGGGCGUGGAGCAUUACAAAUUACAGGGAAUAAAAAUUAUGGACCUGCUGGAAAGAGCAUUGGCUUGGACCUUUUAAACUCUCCAGAAACCGUGGCCUCAGACGCUGAUGUUGCAUUCAAGACUGCCAUUUGGUAUUGGGUGGUAAAUGUUCGUAAUGCUUUAAGUCAAGGAUUUGGAGCCACAACUCGAGCCAUUAAUGGUGCUAAGGAAUGCGAUGGUCAACAACCUGACCUAGUUCAAGCCCGGGCCGCCUUGUACCAGAGUUAUUGCAGCCAACUUAAUGUUGAUCCUGGCGCUAAUCUCAGUUGCUAGAAUGCCAAAACUUAUUAAUUAUAUGGAGAUAUCGUUAAUUGCCCCCUUUAAUAUGAUAUAUAUCAAUAUAUCUUUUUUUUUUGUUUGUUCCCAAGCUAGCAUGGAAGGAGAGGGCUACCUCCUGUUGUGUACUCCACCCAUUGAAUAAAUAAAGACUAUAUAUUUCUAUUGAAUGUGUUUUUUGUCAUUCGCUAAGGAGGAGGAUGAAGCAGAAUUAUAUUGGAUUGCCUCAAGAUUGUCUUCUAUGUGAAUCGAACCCGGGUGCACUAAGGGGGGAAUGUGAGAGUUUUGGCCUACUUUUUUUACCGUGAUGCCACCCCAUGUGCUGUAUUGAAUGUUAUAUAUAUUGUUGAAAAUUGUAGGAAUCUUUGUGAAGUCUGUUUAGCGAACAUUUGUGAUUGGUUUGAUAUGAAUAUGAGAUUAGUUGUGCUGAGGACUUGUUUUCUUCUAAAUUUGUUUAUAUAUCGGCUUCUACCCUAACUUGAGAAAGAAUAAAUACUCCUUGGCAGUAAAGAUUGCUUGGAAUACAAUUCGGGCUAAUUACCUGUUUUAAGCAACUAGAAACCCCAAUCAAAUAAGGUCAUAUAAGCCACAAUUUGACUCAAGAAAAAUUCAGGCCCAAACAUGAACAAAAGCGCAUAUUAUUUUAGCACGAAUAGUUCUGUACCCUCUAGAAUCUUGUUAUUUUCACAUAGCUCUUUCCUAUCUGCCAAUCUCUUCUCCCGAUUUGUCAUUUCUCAUCACUUUCUGUUGAUCCACUUUUCGGCAUCGAACCUAAAUUUCCCUCUCAUUUACUCAAACAAAGUUCCCAACUUUCUUCUCUGUCUCACUUCUAAUUGUUUCAAUCAAAUUGAACUGCAGGCAUGCGCAGAGAAAGUAAAUUAAGAUAUUUUUUAAAAAAAAGCAUUUUCAUUCAUAACCUUCCCGAGCUCAAAUAUUGAGAUUUCUUACAAGAAUUGCCAAUAUUCCUAGAGUCAUAUCACACUACACAGAUGAUAGAACUUCCCAACUUCUCAAGAGAAAGGGAAUCUAGAAUUAUUCUAACGAGUCAAAAAAGAAAGAGCUAUGCUACAGUCAAUCACCUGCGCGAGAUUAGGCCAUUUUUUACCAUUCAUUAUUGUGGGACACAAAUUUGAUUAAUGGUAAGAAAUUGCUCCCUUGUUCUUAUUUACGUUUGUCUUUCCUUCGAAGUCAUGAUCAUGUGGUGUUCUAGUGUUCCUAUUGUCAGUUCAUAUGGUAUAAGCUUCUCCUCAUUGUGGAUUGUAUUGGCACUAGUUUGCCAAGCACCUCUUUCUUUGCAUGGUCUCUGGGUCACUCGAACAGGAACCAACUCUCUUCUGUAAUCCAUGGUUCUGUCUUGAGGCAACAGUUUACUGUAUAUGGAAUCCAGCUGAUUUAUCUUUUCGAAUUCGAAAGCUACUUCUGCCAAGAAUGUUAUUAUAAGAUAUUGGCUGCUUUAAUUAUGAAGUUGGAUUAAGUCUAUUUGCUUUGUUUGAUCUAAUCAGAUCAUAUGGCAAUUUUGUUCAUAUAUUGACCAUUAAAAUUCCUGUGGAAGAAAUGACUAUCAUUAUCAUUGUUUUUGUAAGUAAUGUAUGGUAUCAAAAAAUAUUAAUACUGGUCCCUUCCUAUACGAUUAGUUUUUUGUCGCUACCUAAGUCUGGUGGCUAGGGUUUGCGUUGUCUAGUGCUCACGUCCUUUUGCAGAGAGCUCUUUCCAUGCCCAUAAGGCGUCCCUGUCUGCAUAGGAGUGACGAAGGUGACGGGCUCGUGACACUCUAGGGUUCGGCGUCGUGUUUUGUGAAGGUUUUUGGGCGAGAUCUAGAGUGGACUUUGGAGGCGUUGAAAGAUAUCGUUCAAGGAUUUACCACUAACCUGGCAAUCUCGGAGGUAGAUGCUUUCGAGAUUGUAGGCGUGGAGGAGCUGAGUAAAUUGAAGGCUGAUCGUUUCCUUUUGGUUGGGCGCUUACUCAUAACCAAGCCUGUCCAUAAAGAGCCGCUGUUUGGUACUAUGAAGAAUAUCUGGCGUACAUUGGAGGAUAUCACUGCGGUUCCUUUGGAUGUACCCGAGAGGUUUUUGUUCUCCUUCAAGUCUGAUCUUGAUCAUAGAAGAGUGUUGAGGAGUUCUCCUUGGACUUUUGAUAAGGCCCUGUAGUUGCUUGAGGCAACAAACGGUUAUGUUGAUCUGCUGACAAUUACUUUGGAUACCCAUAACUUUUGGGUAAAGGUUAGGCGUAUUACCCUCUUGUUCCUGACUCCAGCAAUGGGAGAGAAAUUGGGCAACUACCUUGGAUCUUUUUUCAUGGUGGAUCGCAGAUUGAAUGAGGAUUGUUCGGGCAGUUUCUUGCGCAUCAUGGUAGGGUUGAAGAUAUCGAAGCCCCUGAAGUGUUGUGUUAUGCUUUGUUUAGCACUUGAUGAACUAGCAAAGUAGCACGAGAUCGAGUAUGAACGGCUGCCUUAUUUCUGUCUGUAUUAUGGUAGAUUGGAUCAUAUAGGUUCAAACUGUGAGUUGAAACGAAAAGGGGAUAUUACUACGGAACGAUAUGGACGGUGGAAGACUAUGGUCAAAGAUGUUUUUAGUAUCAGGUUAGUGAACGGUUUUACAAGGAAUAGGAUUAGACUUGGAGGCGACGAGACACAGUUGACAAUUGUGCUUCACCCCGAAGGUGGUGGGCAUUGUUUGUCUGUGAGAAGCGAUGGGAAAUGGUCGGGGAGAGAUAACCAUAGAGGAAGAUGGUUUGGGAAGUGAUCAUGUGCUACGUCUAUUCAAAAAGAGACGAUUUUCUACUGAAGGUGAAGGCCAUACCACUACAGCACCGAUGGGGAAGAGGCCGGGUGAAACUCAUAAGUGUUUAUUAGUGAGCGUCCGAGGUUCAGGAACCCAAGAGGUACUGACAAAAUUGCCAGAGACUAUGAUUGUGGAGAAGGCAUUGGUAGACUACGUCGCUGUCGAACAACUACUGGGAUUACCUUUGUUCUCUAUGGGUAAAGAGCAGAUAGGCAGUAGGGGCCUGUAUGGUGGAAGGUGCUCGAUCAAAAAACAGAGCAACAAAAGAUACAGGCCACGUAGAGAUGGUGGAUGAGGGAAAUGAGAAGUGAUGUUACAAAAGCAAAAGACGAGCCAAGCUGGUCAAUCGGUGAUGAGUCCCGAGAAUUAGUCCUAUCACGAGCAAUGACAAUCUUAUGCUAGAAUGUUUAUGGUCUGGGCAAUCCACGAACAUUUCAAGCUAUGAGAUUCCUCAUUAUAGACAAAAACGAAAAAAAAACUACUCGUCAAAUGAAAUACAUCUAAUUGCUGCUAGGUUGGGCUGGCUGCUUUAAGGUGAGCAGAGUUGGCUUGUCUGGAGGGCUUGCCCUCCUUUGGCAAUAUGGGAUGAAUAUAAUGAUUCGUUCUUCAUCGCCAGGUCAUAUUGAUGCCAUCUUUGGAGGUUUGGAGCCAACUGCAUUUAGGUUUACUAGUUUUUAUGGAAACCCGUAUAUGAAGCUGCACAAGCAUUUGUGGGAUCUAUUACAGUGGAUUGCGGGUGAUGUGAUUGGCCCAUGGCUAGUGGGUGGUGAUUUUAAUGAAAUAGUUACGGCACAUAAGUAUUUACACUGCCGAUUUCUGGCUAUGUCAUAGAUAAGGGAUUGUGGUGCAGCUCUUAAGGAUUAUGGUAUGUCGACGGUAGGUUUCAGAGGAUAUAAAUUUAUUUGGUCCAACCAAUGGAGAGGUAGUGGUAAUGUUCAGCUUUGUUUGGAUAGGAUGGUGGCAAAUGAUUUAAUGUUUCUAGCUUUCCCGGAUAUGCUUACCCAUCAUCUUAAUUCUGUGGUAUCGGACCAUCUCCCUAUCCUCAAGGAGUGUGGGUCGCAUAGUUGGGCAUGGAGAAAGCAACGUUUUAUGUUCGAGGAACUUUGGACCACAUUUGAAGGUUGUCAGGAUACCAUUACUAGUGCUUGGAGGGUUGAUCAGGGGUCUGUUUUGAGCAAAUUGCAUUCUUGCCAGGCAUCCUUGACCCGGUGGAAUAAGGAGAAUGUUGGCUAUAUUUCUACAAAAGUAAGAUGUUUGCAGAGUAAGCUAGAUAUUUUAAUGGGAAAUGAGCAAGAUGCAACAAUUGCUCUUCAACAGAAAGCUCUCUCGCAGAGCCAUCUCUCUUCCCUCCGCGAGCCUCGUCAACGUCGCCGAGCCUUAUCCUAGUCUACGAUCGUGGUUUCUCUCUCUCAUGUUUUUCUGAUGGUUUAUCUAUCGUGGUUUCUAUAUUUUCCUUUUGUUUGUUGAUGAUGCCCGUCGUCGUUCACCUAGCUAUCUCUCUUUCCUCCACGAGCCUUGUCAGCACUUGUCGAGCUUCUAUGCCGUGCUACACUGCUGUUGUUCCCUUUGCAUACCCCUUCUUUCCCUAUGUCCCAAGUGCAUACCCCCUGUUUCCCCAUGUCGACGGUGGGUUUCAGAGGGUAUAAAUUUACUUGGUCCAACCGAUGGAGAGGUAGUGGUAAUGGUAAUGUUCACCUUCAUUUGGAUAGGAUGGUGGCAAAUUAUUUAAUGUUCUUAGCUUUCCCGAAUAUGCUUACCCAUCAUCUUAAUUCUGCGGUAUCAAACCAUUUCCCUAUCCUUACGGGGUGUGGGUCGCAUAGUUAGGCAUGGAGGAAGCGACGUUUUAUGUUCAUGGAACUUUGGACCACAUUUGAAGGUUGUCAGGAUACCAUUACUAGUGCUUGGAGGGCCGCUCAGGGGUCUGUUUUGAGCAAAUUGCACUCGCUGGUUUGUUAUUUCUGUGGAUGAUUGCACUUGCAUGAUGUGGUUGUACUUGAUGAAAAAUAACAGUGAUGUUUUUGCUGUUUUUAGAAUUUUCACCAGAUUGUUCUAUUGACAGGUAUAGUGCCAAACUUAUGGCCUGAGGUUUAACCUAGACUUAUGGAACUUUGGACCACAUUUGAAGGUUGUCAAGAUACCAUUACUAGUGCUUGGAGGGCCGCUCAGGGGUCUGUUUUGAGCAAAUUGCACUCGCUGGUUUGUUAUUUCUGUGGAUGAUUGCACUUGCAUGAUGUGGUUGUACUUGAUGAAAAAUAACAGUGAUGUUUUUGCUGUUUUUAGAAUUUUCACCAAAUUGUUCUAUUGACAGGUAUAGUGCCAUACUUAUGGCCUGAGGUUUAACCUAGACUUAUGAUAUUGAUUAUCAAGAGACGUUUGCACCGGUGGCUAAGAUCAAUACCAAUCGAGUUCUAUUACCUUUAGCUGUAAACUUUAAUUGUCCAUUCAAGCAAUAUGAUGUAAAAAAUGUCUUCUUACAUGGAGACUUACAUGAGGAAAUCUACAUGUCAUUGCCGCAAGGUUAUAAGGCUCCUAAUGAUGCUAGUGCUGUAUGUAAAUUGAAGAAGGCACUAUAUGGAUUGAAGCAGUCUCCGAGAGCUUGGUUUGGGAGUUUCAGUCUUUCCAUAAAAAAAAAAUUGGUUAUGAGUAGAGCAAUGCUGAUCGUACUUUAUUUUUAAAAGGAAGAAUGGUAAGUUAACAGCUCUUAUUAUUUGUGUGGAUGAUUUGAUUGUGAUUGGUGAUUAUCUUGAUGAAAUUGGCAAACUGAAAGGCUAUUUAGCUUCUGAGUUCGAUAUGAAGGAUCUCGGUGGAUUAAAAUAUUUUUUAGGUAUUGAGGUAACUCGUUAUGAACAGGGAAUUUUCUUGUCACAAAGAAAAUAUGUUCUUGAUUUGCUAAAGGAAACAGGUAUGCUUGGUGUGAACCGAUUGGUACUCCUAUAGAACGAAAUCAUGGUUUGGAAGAAUAUCCAGAUCAAGUUCCAAUUGAAGUCCUUAUUUGUCUUAAGGCAUAGAAAGGACCUCACUAUUCAGUUUACCGUUUCAAAUGACAAUUGUUUUUUUUAAGUCAUUUACUUUGUGCGCAAGUCUAUUUUUAUUUAUUUAUUUACAAGUCUUUUAGGGUUUUAACACUACUAAUAUUGGCACACUCGCAAAUUCACAUAAGCUCAACCCUGUUUUAAGGCUUGGACAUUUUUAGGGUAAAUAUAUUUUCGCACUCCCCGUGGGAUCUCUAAUACACAUAUUACUAACAACUUAUGUUGGUAUAUCCGUUACAUGGACUAAAGUUACUUCGUUUUACCAAAAAGAUUGUUAUAAGACAUUUCAAACUUGGAAGUUCUAAAAUUGUUGCAUAAUUGCAGAAUGGUACUGAGGAAGAUAAUAAAGGAGCUCUUACUUUAGCAAAUGCAAUAGAGAAGGCUCUGCAAUUGCAUGACAACCCUAAUUCUAUAGUGAAAGAAACAGCUAAAUCUAUUGCAGUAUUUUUAGCCACUCGAUCCUUUUAAGGUUUAGAUAUACAUUAUGAAGGUUCCUUGCCAGAACCAUAUUUUAUAGGGAGAUGUAGAAGGGUAGUAGGGUAUGAAGAUGAGAAAAACGGGCAUCGUGUUGAAGGAUGUCCCAUUGGUAGAUGUGUGGAAGGCAACAGGUGUAGGUGACCGCCCGAGAGGGGACAUGUAAAUGAAAGAGCAUACUAUUGAUGUCUCCCUUGCAGCAUGGAGUGCAUCUAUAUGAAACCGAGACUAUGUAAAGGGAGAAACAAGUUUACUAGGACUUGGGUUACAAGUUUACUAGGAAUAGGAAACCAAAACCCUACUAGAUUGGGCUAAGAAAUAUGCCCUUAAAGCCAUCAAAUUAUGUAAGAGCAACUCCACCCAUUUUCCAUGGCUAAGGGCAAGGGGGGGCUAGGGCAGUUACUAUUCAUGUAAAUAGUUGCUGCCUUUGCAAAAAGCAAUGUGUGUUUCCAUCCGUUGCCAUUUUUCUUUUUUUUUUUAACCUAAACAAUUAAUUUGGAUAAUAUUUUCAGAUAAGAUUUUUGGGUUCGUACAUGUCAAUAUUUAUUAUCAAAUUCAUAUCUCAUAAUCGGAUAAAAUUUUAGGAUAAGAUUUUCAGUUUCAAAUUUUAAAUUUCAAAUUUUAGAUAAAUUUCAGAACAUCUUCCACGGUUGCCCACGUGCCCCCGGCUUCGAUGGAAGAUGCCAUGAGAUGGUGAAUAAAAUGAAAAUUGGAAGUGAUGAAAAUUUUGUGUAGAAGGUGAAAAACAAUAGAAUUUAUGAAAUUGUAUGAGGAUUUGGUGUUCAAAGUGAAGAAGAAUGGUAGGUAUUUAUAGGAAAAAAGUUCAGAAUUUUUUGGUAAUUCUUUAAAAAAAUGUCAAAUUUUUUUUUUUUCACAUUUUUUUGCCCAAAAAAAACCCAGUCAUUGGAUUUGGAAAAAAAAAAAAAAAAAAAAAAAGCAUCCGCGCAACUGGAAUGCGGCACUUGUCAAGUGACCGUUGGUCGACGUCAGCAUUGACGUCACCUCGCCUCGGGCUGCUUCCCCCAGCUAGAUGGCCCUGUCGCGUGGCACCCGCCUUGGCUAGGCUGUCUUGGCCCGCUGGAACCCGCUGCUUGGGAUCGAGCCCUGUCCUGCCCGAGCUUGGGUUUGUUGUUGGACUUGCUCUAAUAGUUAGAGUUAAAGACAUCUUUAAUAAAAGACAUAUUAUGUUAUCAAUAGGCAAGAAAGGUUGUUUUAUACAAUAAAUCAUCCUAUAUUAUCUUUCAAUAUGGAGAACAACCAUAGUCCAAGGAAUACACAAGUGGAUAUGAGAGCUAUGUAAUGAGAUUGCAUACAUGGAGACUUCUCAUCAUCCCUAAAUCCUAAAUAUGUUCAUGGUAAUAGGAAUAUUGAUUGGGCAUCAAUAUUCUGCAAAGACUUGUACACACAGUAUCGUCCCUAUAUGUAGGGAAUGGCAAGGUCUCAAGUCAUUAAGUGUGGAGACACAUCGAUAUGUGUAUAUGUGCUUGUAGAAGAACAAGUACACUGAAGGCGAUCCAACACAUGAGUUACAACAUGGAAGUCUUUACUUACAUGUCAAGCUGGAAGUCAUAAUUUGCAAUGGUGCAAACUAAUCCUUAGACCUGAGGCAUCAUAGAUGUUUUGUGGCUAUGUUGUUAAUCUUUGAGGGCACUAUACGGUCAUGCUGAAUUAGGCAUAGCUUAAAGGUGCUCAUCAGGAUUCUCAAUAGUGUCAUGGAAGUAAAUGAAUGUACAAUAAGGAAUCUCUACUCUCAGUAAAGGAGAGAGAAUACUCCAAAAUAUGAUUGGUCAAAUCUCUAAGCAGAGUAGUGGAUAAGACUUGAAAGAAGAAGUCUUCAAGUGUUACCAGGAUAAUCAUAUAAAAUGAAUGAUUCACAUUAGGAUAUUGACAAUCGGAUUCCAUGAUCUAAUAACGUGAAUAAGGAGUAUUGACAUAAGAGAAUGAUUCAAUUGCACGGUUAUUCCAAUUUAAAUAGGUUCUUACACAACGUCUCAUUUAGCUCGGAUAACUGUGACUUGCUGCUAGGCGACAACCAUGGUUUGUGAAUGUCCUAAAAGGUUUCAAUUAACCUUUAUUAAUAGAAAGAAUUAAAUUGUGGAAUUUAAUUUAUAUAUUCAAAGAAACUAGGCUAAGAUACUUUGUUUAAAAUGAAAUUGGUUUAGCUCAACUAGUAUAAACAAAAUGAAUAUGACAUUUAUAAUGUUUUUGUUGUAUAGGUUGUGGCUAAAUUUCAUUUCCUAAGCAUUAGAUGCAUGUUUCCUUCACUUGGCUACGUAAGAAUUCAUUGUCCAAUCGAACCUUCUAGUUCCUGGAUGCUCCAUAGAAAUCCAUUGUUAUUCCUUUCUUCCACCGAGAAAGUUUCAUUUCAAAUCACAAGAGAAAUUUCUCUCUCUUUUUUUAUAAGCACCGACCGUUCGUCAUGAUUGGGUGACGGUUCGCCUGGAGCAAAAUUCACAACUCGAGCCUCUCUACCAAAAUCCAACUGGUUGGCUGGCCACACCGGCCGGUAGCUUUCUUGCUGCUGCCAAAUCCUACGACUUCUUCUCCUCUCUUGUUGCUCCUUUUCAUGCAGCACCUUGGUUCCUCUUCUUCCUCCUACAUUAUGGUGAGCCAAAUCACAACACUAGCUACAUGUAAUGAGCAACUAAGGCAAGGGUGGAACUACUUCCAAGGCUAUAUAUAUGUUUAACUUGUUUUAUAUAUAGCCCAGUACGUACUAACUUAUUCAAGUCCAAAAAAGUCUAAGUCCUUAUGAAUUUAGUUGGAGAGCAUCAAUUUGAUAAUAGGUACACUUUCAAUUAUGUUGUUGAACAUAUUUUCAUUUUGAUAAUAUGUGUUUUUUAGUUGCAUUUAAUAUGUAUUGGUUUUAAGUUUUUUUUUAGGACCUUUCCUUUUGAGAGGGCCGAUAAUAUACUAAACUCACACACACUAUAUUCAUACUAGGACUUGAACCUAGGACCUUGCUUGGGAGAGCAGUUGCUCCAAACCACCACACUAGUGGGUCCUUUUGCAUAUAUGUUUUAAGUUAAAGCUUAUUGGAAAUGAACAUUUAGCUCUGCACUCAAGGACCUAAGUUCGAUUUCCCACUCACCCAAUAUCGCUUAUAUAAGAAGGAAAAAACUUAUUGGAAAUUAGUCAAUUGAACUAUGAACUAGUGUAUGUUUUUAUUUAUUUAUAACAAAACAAUACAAGCAACAGUCUAAACUACAAGUGGGAGGGGAGUUUCUCACACACACACAUUAUCAAGGUGUCAUGGAGGUUCAAACAUGAGACCAAUGGUUUGCGAGUCAAGGUCCCUUUCUAUUGGGCUAGACCCCGUUGAAGAACUAGCGUGGUUAUAUGAUUUAAUGUUUGCUUUUAUUUCUAGAAAGACUAUAGAAUCUGGAAGUACCAAAAAAAUAAAAUAUCAUUAAAUUUUAAGCUAAUAAAUUUAGCUAGACUACCCGUAAAAACAUUUCUGGUUCCGCCCUUGAACUAAGGUCUUGUUUGAUGGCUUAGUUUCUUAGUUUUUGGUUACUUUUCAUCAAAGAUAGUGAGAGGGGAGACAGUAAAUCUGAAUUGUGAAGCAUAAGAUACAUAAGCCAGACUUUUUCCAUUCACAUCAAGAUAAAAGUUUUCUCUGUCUGCAGAUGACUGCACUUUAAACUUCCUUGCCUAACUUCUAUGAUUUUUACUUCCCUUUUAUAUUUAACUUGCAUUUUAGGUAUUAAUAUGGAGUUGUAAUUACAAUUAUGGCAGUUAAUGAAAUGCUUGGAAUACAUUAUAAAUAAAAUAUGAAGUCUAAUGGCAACGAUGUAAAAACAUAGGAAUAUUAUGACAUCUUAUAUCUUACUGGUAAUUUAAGUUUAAAAUUGAGUUUUCCACAUAGAUUUAUAAAAUGAUGGGUAUAUGUCUAGGAAAUAAAAAUGGUAGGGACCUAUAUUGGAAAAACCCUAAAUUUUAUUAAGAAACCACAAAAGGGCACAACAAUACAACAAAAAGUAAAAUCCAACCAAGCUCAGCAACAAGGAUAUACUUUUUUAGUGGAAAAUGUUGGGAACACUGACUUAUAUCAUGAUUUGAUUUUUCUUUGGCCUACAAAUCAAUUCUUUUAUGUGGAAAAUUCUUUUGACUUUGUCACUCAAAUUGUACAAAUAUGGUUGUGUGGCUUUUAAAAGGCAACGUGACGUGUGGGAUGGGCUGCCAAUUUUGAAACUUAUUAGCUUCUUUGAGAAGCUGGUGCAACAUUUAUGCGCGUGAACACUUGGCGGAUUGAUCCAUCAGAGAAGACAAAAUAAUGGUGUCAUUUGGACAGACUUGGGCAAUUGAUCCGGCAACAAGUCUUUCAUGGUUCCUUUAGCCUCGUUUGUUACGGAAGAUUGUCUUGGCAUGAACUAUUCUAAGAAAUUGUCUUGGCCUGAAUUGGCUUAAGUUGAAUAACACUUAACCUAUGUUUGGUGAUGCUUGGAUUGGGACUAAAUUUAAAUUGAUUAAAAUAUCAAUAAAUAGGACGAUAUAUUUCAACUUCUGUUAUACUGUACAAACGUGGGUUAAAAAUAUUCCAAUUUUUUUUUUUUUGCUAGUAAAUAGACCAGACCCGACCCGUUAAUUCUAGGCCAAAGUUCCCAAAGUUUUAUUUAAUAAGGUUUAUUUUUUAGGUUUAUAUAGGUUUUAAAUUUAAGGGCAUUUGUGUCUAUUUAAGUGAAUUUUUUACUAUAUUUGAAAUAUUUUAUAAAAACUGAUAUUUUUGAAAUUAAGGAUCAAGUUUUGAUAAAUUCUCUAAUAAAUACAUUAGUUUUAAGUUUUAGAUUUAUUACAUUUUUUUAUUUCUUGCUUGCAUUUAUUAACUGUCAUUUCUUUAUCUCUUUUUCGAAGCCUCAAAAGUCCAGUCAAUGGAUGGGGCCGUCUGAGUUGUUUUGUACGGUGGAAAACGUAUAAACUGGAUUUCGUGUCCUGGACUUCAAUAAUUUUUUCAUAUCUUUUAUUUAUUUAAACAACUUGGACUUCGUAGAAAUGGGGCUUUUUCUUUGGGUCAAGAAGUCAGUCAAUGGAAUACGUGUUCUCUCCGCCAUCGAUGGGGCAGCCUCUGUUUACCUCUCCUACUUUUGGGUGAAGAAGUCAGUCAAGUCUUUAUUUAUAAGAUUUUUGAAGUUGUUAAGAUAUCUACUGUGGCCAACAAAAUUCACGAACUUGCUUUCAGAAAAUAUUCAGAUAACAAUUAUUUAAUUGAGUAGACAAAUAAAUUCAAAUUCAAGUGAUGAUUUUCGCAGAGAUCAUCGCUGAAGAAUAUCAAAAAAAUAUACAAUUUGAAUCAUAAAAAAAUAAUAUUAUAUAAGUCCUACAACAGUGUUCCACAAACAAAAAAAUCCUCAAAUGAAGCUUUUAUGAGUAGGUACGAGCUUUAUUAAUUAUCCCUGACAAGAUUGUAGACCACCAUGGAAAGUCUCCUGCGGUAGUAGAUGUAAUUUGGGAAUCCAAAGAAACUAAUUUGCACGCCAGACAUGCAAGUCAAUGUCAACUCAAGUCAUACACGAUUUCUGAUAAAUUCAUGUCGGAAAAUGAAUUUCUAGGGAAGUUAUGAGCAUUUCAGACUCUAUGUUUCUCUAUAAAUAUCCAACAACAAAUCUUAACCUUCAUUCUCAUUCUUCACUAGCCCUUCACCAAAAUGGCUUUCUACAAUACAACAAAACACCUUCUAAGCCUCACUGCCCUAGUCUUUGUGGCUGGAGCACUGCUAAAAAAUGUGACAGCACAAAAUUGUGGCUGUGCCCCAGAUCUAUGUUGUAGCCAGUAUGGCUACUGCGGCAGCAGCGAAGACUAUUGCGGCCCGGGUUGUCAACAAGGCCCUUGUACUGGCGGUGGCGGCGGCACACCUACCACACCAAGCCCCAGUGGUGGUGGUGGUUCGUCGGUGGCUGAUAUUGUAACCCAAGAAUUCUUCAAUGGAAUCAUUAACCAGGCUCCUUCAGACUGUGUUGGGAAGAACUUCUACACUCGAGAUGGUUUUAUUAACGCUGUGAACUCAUAUUCUGACUUAGGUAGACGUGGUUCGGUUGACGAGUCUAAACGGGAAAUCGCAGCUUUCUUUGCUCAUGCGACUCAUGAGACUGGCUGUAAGAUAUUCCUUUCCUCCCCUCUCAUACAUACAAUGUGACAUGAACAAAUUAUAACUCCCCUCUCUCAUUAAAAACGUGCAUAUGUUACAUGUUGUGAAAUUAUAUGUUUCACAACGUGCAAUAAGAGCACGUUGUAUUAUACAACUUUUAGCAACAUGCAUUUAGUGUGCGUCGUCGAAAUGCGUUUAGUGCAUAUCAUGUCUGAAAGUUUCUAUAGUUGCUAAAUAUUUUCCAUGUAUUAAGCUCCACAAUUACCGAAUGAAUUUCCUCAUUAUGAUAUGCACAGAUAUUUAUGUCAAAUAGUUGAUAACCUAUAAAAAUUCAAAACCCCUAUUUCUCAUAUAAAAAUUUGAUGGGUCUUAUAUAUUGUCAACAUAAAUAGAACAAACAAAAGAAAACACAGAUGAACCUAACAAAAUAACUUUUUCUUUUUUGUUCAGAUUUUUGCUUCAUAGAAGAGGACGAGGCGACUCGUGAAACCGCCUGCCAGCCAAGCACAGAGUAUCCAUGCAACCCCGACAAAAAAUACUAUGGGCGUGGACCAUUCCAAAUUACAUGGAAUUACAAUUAUGGACCUGCUGGAAAAAGCAUUGGCUUGGACCUUUUAAACUCUCCAGAAACCGUGGCCUCAGACGCUGCUGUUGCGUUCAAGACUGCCAUUUGGUAUUGGGUGGGAAAUGUUCGUUCUGUUUUAAGUCAAGGAUUUGGAGCCACAACUCGAGCCAUUAAUGGUGCUAAGGAAUGCGAUGGUAAAAGACCUGACCUAGUUCAAGCCCGGGCCGCCUUGUACCAGAGUUAUUGCAGCCAACUUAAUGUUGAUCCUGGCGCUAAUCUCAGUUGCUAGAAUGCCAAAACUUAUUAAUUAUAUAGAGAUUAUCGUUAAUUGCCCACUUUAAUAUGAUAUAUAUCAAUAUAUCAUUUUUUUUUUUU
rnacentral:lncRNA from 1 species